rnacentral:lncRNA from 1 species
CGUAUAAACUACCCAGGAAGCUGGAUAUAUCUUGGAGAGAAACUAGCAGAUAUCAUAAUGUGAAGUCAAUACUUGCGCCAUUUGGUGGAUUAUGUGUGCUGACUGCCUUAACUUCUUUUAGAGAUACUUCAUGCUGACUAAUAGGUGUAUAGGUUUGUUCUUAGAUCUAACUAAGCCUCCUUUUGAUAUUUCGGAACACAAGCAUGUCCAAGUUUUGGGGUAGAAAAUUUUGACAGCAUAUACUGUAUGUAGAAGAUAGUCACAUGCCAGAGUUAGCUGAUACAGUACAUCAUACACAGUUGUGUAUCUUCCUCGAUGACAGAAUCUCACUGACUGUAAGGUUCAGUGCAAGUAUAAUGUUGCCUAUAUGUAUAGAAGAAUCCGUUGAGACCCACAAAGAGAAACAGCCAUUUUGUGCUAUGUGUGAUAUUUGCAUAAUAAUGUAAUACUUUGCCUCGACUUCUCACAUAGGCUCCAACGCACGUCGCACGGGUCGAUUCCUCGGGGCUUGGAGCAAGAACCUUUUGUAAAAGCUUCAGCUUCACAUGGCUUCAAGGCCAUUCUUCAUUUUGACCCGGCAAUGAGACACUUCCUACUAUCACCGGAAGAGAGACAUUCGGACACUUUGAGGGAGAUGCUAGCACAAGAUUUUACCGUACAAAUGCAAGAAGGCGGAAGAACUUCAUCCAUGGAUUGAGGCGUCAUAAUGGUUGGUGACAUCGCACAACGGUGAUGGUGAGAUCAAGGAAGAAGCAGCGUCCUUGUAUUAAUAACCUUCAUCUAGGGAGAUUUUCCACAUCCACAGAGAUCAAGAAAGAAGCAGCGUCCUUGUAUUAAUAACCUUCACCUAGGGAGAUUUUCCCCCAUCCACACAAAUGCAAGAAGGCGGAAGUACUUCAUCCAUGGACUGUCGAUUGUGGCAUGAAAAUGGUCGAUGACAUUGCACAAGGAAAAGGGAACCAUGAAAGGAAUCAUGGGGAGGGUUAUCUCUCACUGGACUAAUUUCAAUUGGAAGGUUCUAAACAUCAUGGGUAUCCUUGAUGGCAUUGACAACCUUUUAACGAAUUCUUGCGGCAUAAGCAAUUACCCUCUCAUAAGGCAUUGGGUUAGAUGGCUUCAUUGUGGAGUUCCUUAAAUCUUGUAAGGACAUCAUCAAAGUUGUAAUGAUGCACAUCAUUAACCAUUUCUCAGACCUCCAUGUGGUUCAUUUCUAGUGGUUUACUACCUGAGCGGCCUCAGAAUCUUCCACCUAGCAAAGUCUACUUCAUGCUCUAUGGCCUCAACAUAGCACAACAAUUCUUGGAUAAAACAUCUUGACGUAAUCACCUAUCGUCGAUUUCCACUGAAGAAACUGCGACAUAGUUGUACAACAUGAGUUUUUUUUACAGAGAUUAGGACUAGGGUUAACGGGAUUCAUGAUGGUAAAAGAAGAAUUAUUGAUUCUUGGGCGAAGGGAUGACCAGCGCGGGAGGAGGCAGGCAUACUAAAAUGGAUACAUGCAUGGGAUGGUGAUGCCAUGUAUUCCCUCCGUUCCUAAAUAUUUGUCCUUUUAGAGAUUUCAAAUGGUCACCACAUACGGAUGUAUAUAGACAUAUUUUAUAGUAUAAAUUCACUCAUUUUGAUCCGUAUGUAGUCACCAUUUGAAACCUCUAAAAAAACAAAUAUUUAGGAAUGGAGGGAGUACAAUGCAAUGUGGUUAGAGACGUGCUUACAGAAAUAUAUCUUUUUCACUUAAGCAUUGGUAUAAUUGUAGAGGGCAGAGGCAUAUGCCUAGCUAGGGACCUCUGCUAUAAAAAUAAGUAGCGGUGCCUAAACAAAAACUGAUUUAUAUUCUGCAAGCAUGCAUCCAAAGUUCCAAACACCUUGUAUUGUACAUGAUCCGACAUCAAUGAGAGCGAGGGGAUGUGACCAUUGAUCAGUAGUCGCCGCUAGCUGGUGUACAUACUUGGAUGUAAAAUUUAUUUAUAAUAUUUUUUGUAUUACCUUAACAGUUGAUAAAUAAAAAGUAAUAUCAGUGAAGCGGGCAAGAGAGGGGAGAUCGGAGCCCAUUGGACCUUGAUUCAUCAACGAUUCAAAAAUUCAGGAACUGAAAAGCGGCCGCCGGCCUAGCAUUUCAGUUCCACUAUCUAAAGUGUCUCAAAAAAAAAAGGUCCACUGUCUAAAAAAACUGCUGUUGAAUCAGGCGGCGCUUGCGAGCCCACGUGGCACUGCUUCCUCAAUCCUCACAGCAGAAAGUCUCCGGCUGCGCCGUCGGCCUCGUAGCAAAACCACCAGCCGUUGUUUGUCCCCACAUCCUGCUCCGCUUCAUCCCCAUGGCUGCGACGGCGGCGGCGGCGGCGGCUGCUGCUGCGGCUCACCUGCUCACCUCCCCACCUGUCGCGUCUCCGCGGCCCGUACCUCGCCGUCACCGCCGCACCGGGGCCGCCAGGCGCCUCUCCUGCCGCGCGUCGCUGGGCCCCGACGCCCCCCUACCCGCGCUCGCCGUCCCCAGGCCGUCGCCCGCUCGGGGGAGGACGUACCUGCGGGAGCACUCCUGCCUCCUCUUCCCACCCCCGCGCGGCGCCCGCCCGCUCGCCGUCGUCAAGUUCCUCGGCGGCGCCUUCAUCGGCGCCGCCCCCGAGGCCACCUACGGGUAGGCGGAGGUCCAUCCGACCUCGCGGUAAUCCGCGAUUUCUUCGGCGGGAGGGGAGAGCUUCGCAGUACUGAUUCGCGCUUGGGCGCCGUGGUUUGUUGCAGCUACCUGCUGGAGCUCCUGGCGCAGGAGGGGUUCCUCGUGGUGUGCGUCCCGUACAACGUCACCUUCGACCACGCGGCCGCCGCGCGGGAGGUCUUCGAGAGGUUCCACGGCUGCUACGACGCGCUCCGAGCGUCGGGCCUGCCGGAGGCCGGGCUAGGCGCUCUGGACAUCGCGCGCCUCCCGCUCUACUCCGUUGGUCACAGGUGCCCGUCCGCCCGCCCGCCCGCCCGCCCGCCACCUGUUCGAUGCUUUACCACAGAAGAUGUUUGAAGCCUUGUUUUACUGACGGUAUUCUUCAACGAAUUGCAGUAACGGCGCGCUGCUUCAGCUGCUGGUUGGGAGCUACUUCUCAGAAAAGAUACCAAAGGUUCGCUUGGUAUUUAGUUUUUUUUUUGGAACACCGAGCCUCCUCGUCGAUUUCCAUUAAAGAAGCUGCCACAUAGUUCUACGACAUGAGUAGGAAGAGCGAAAGAAACACAAACAACUCAGCAUCUACACCUACAUCCACAGGCUAUCACAAAAGCAUACUGUUCUGUGGCAACGAAACAUUCAACAGCCACACAGAAAUCAUAUCCAAGCACCACACAUCAAGAUCAAACUGCCGUUAUUCGUUUCAUCACCGGCGCCCAGCCAUGACACCUGCAGUAAACUUCAGCCAUCACCAUCUUCAAAUGAUGCACUCCUUCAAUUCUUCUUCGGCCUUGGGAUUUCUGCAGUAAAGCCCAUGAAGAUAGGUGAUUACCUAAUUGGAAUAUAACACCAGCAGGGUCAUCAGGAAAAUUCUGUCGAAUGCACACAUCUUGUGUUGCAGGGAAGGAUGAAAGCCAUGUAGCAAACAAAUCCACAGUGCUAUCAAACGGUCUAUUAAGACCAAAAGCACAUAGGACAAUCUGCAAUAUCAGUUUGGCUAGCACAAACUGGAAGAGCAGAUGACCUACAGUCUCCUUUGCACUGCAGAAAUAACAUUGUUCAUUCCCAUUCCAGCCCCAUUUCAACAUGUUGUCCUUGGUUAAGAUAAUAUUUUUCAGAGGGAUUUUUUAUUUUCAGAGGGAUCUUCAGCUUCCAGACAAAGCUGAAUCCAAUCAGACUCCCAUAUCUCAGAUGCAAAUAAGUUGCUCUGACAGAGAAAUCUGCUUUAUCACCCACUUUCCAUUUCACUCUGUUUUGCUCGUUAGCAAAAAAAGACCUUUGACACCAUAUCCUGCAAGUCCACUGCCUUAGCAGUAUCAUCAAGCAAAGUUCUCCAUAAUUGGAUGGUAUCGAAACGACCCUCCAGAACUGUUUGUACUGUUACAUUUUUGCUGAAGGUUAUGUGGUAAAGCGUCGGGAAUUGCACUGCCAAUGGUGAAUUAUUUACCCAGCUAUCUUCCGAGAAUAAAGUUUUACCACCACCACCAAUUAUCCUUUCUGACAACUUCUGGAAAAUAUUGUUGACACCCAUCAGACUCUCCCAGAAAUAGGAGCCUCCACUCCCAGGUUCCAUCGAGAGGGAACAUGUUUCUGUAGAUAUUUGCUUUUGUGGUCCACCGCUCAUGACCACUUGGCAGCGAACCCGAUACCUGUUUCUGCAGAUAUUUGCUCUUCAGCAUAGUCUGCCAAAUCCCAUCAGUGUUUUCCAACUUCCGCAACCAUUUGCAAAGCAGGCUUUGAUUCAUAGUCUUCAGGUGCAGAACGCAAAGACUUCCAGAAUCUUUUGGCAAAUAGACUGCCAGCUCACCAGAUGACAUUUUCCUGUCAUCAGACUCCUGCCACAACAUCCUAGCUCUGUGAUAAUCCCAUCUCUUCAGAACUCCUUUAGGUGCCUCUAGAAAGGAGAGCAUAUAUAGAGGGAUACUGCUCAAACAAGUACUUGUCAGUAUUGCUUGGUAUUUGGUUAAUACUGGCAGCAAAACCACAAAAUUCUGUUUUCUUUAAUGGAGAUUGCAGAGGAAAGUUUGAGUUUCUAAUUUUGUUUGUAUAAUUCCUUGGUAACAGUGCUUAUUGUUUAAUUUUCUUUUGUUGGGCUCUGAUCAUUUUAGGCUAAUGCGAUUGUCUCAUUCAACAAUAGGCCCGCUUCAGAGGCUGUUCCUUACUUUGAGCAGGUAUUUUGGUCCAUGCUUUCUCGCACAUUGCAUUGUAGUGACCUUCUGUUUAACUAUUUUCAGCCCAAGCACUUGAUUUACUGGCAACUGGUGUAGUGAUGUGUGACAAUGUAGUAUAUGUUACUAUGUUUGCGUUGGCAUAGGUUUAUGAACAGAAAAACAAUUGGCACUUAGUUUUGUCGAAAUGGCUAGCUGAUUCUCUGUUUCCUACAUUGGGACCUAUGCUGCUUAGUUUUUUUUGCUAUAGGUAACUGUGUAUCUGCAUCCUGCACAACAAUAUCACAUCUUUGUACCACUAAGUAGUUUAUGCUUAUGUCUAUAAGCUGAUCCACUGAUUGAAUUAUUGAAGCCAAGGAACAUUGAGUCUAUGCGCAAAACAAUAUUUCCUGCAGAAACACUUAAAGAUAAAGUGGUGCCUUUUUAAAUAUCUUGUUUUAUUAGUCUUUCGAAGAUACCUGUAUUCUUGUAAGUUCAUAAUUCCCAGAUUCCAGACACAUGCAAGAAUUUGUCCAGCAUCACCGUUUGAGAUUCUGAACUUUAGAGUCAUCAAGCGGUCGUUGUGGUUCAGAUCAGGGAUCUGCAGAUUGCAGACUGACUUGAUAUUGAACCAUGUUUAGAAACAAUUCAACAUGGUUAUAGGCCAAUAACUCCCCUACCCACGCAAUAAAACACACCAGGUUUCUGGCCCUGAACUAUGCACAUGUGUACAAUACCUGCAGUUCCGUCCAAACCCACACAAUCCCCCCACUUUAUUUACUUUUCGUCAUGUAAAAACGCACAUGUUCCUGAUGUUGCACUGAUCUAUUAGUUAUUACUAGCUUGUGUUUGGUUCUCCCCAGUUUUAUGGUUAGGGGAUGAGCUGAUUUCCAUGCUGUAUGUAUGUUGAACUACAGCUACCAGCUCCAUAUUUUGAAGUACAGAGCGCCAAAACUUCAGGAUCAGUAAACAAUUUAUGGUUUAGAUGUUGGACUAACAAAUUCAGCCAUAAAAUAAUUAACAUUUUUUCAGUUGUAAACUUGUAAUCAAUUAAACCAUCAGGGCAGUGCAAAAGUUCGAACCCACCGACCCCCCAAAAAAAUUGUGACUUACAAGAAUUAAACUAUUAGCAAAGAGUUUGAGAAACAUGUAACAAUGCUAUUUGAUUCUUCAUUUCCAACGUAGAACUUUGUGUAAACAACUGGUAUAGGUACUGACACGUUGCAUUCUUAGUUUGUUACCUUGUGCUCUCUCCAUUUUUUGUUUGUUUGUUAUUUUAUCCUUGAUAAAUUUUUGUUUUAUGCAGAUAGGCCCCCUCAUUAGUCAACUAACACCUAUGAUGGAGACAUCACCUGUAUACUCUGCGGCAAGAGAUGCAUCAGGUGAUUAUUCACUGCAUUUAUCAGUUAUUAUUUAACUUCCAUGAAAUAUUUGUGGCUUGCUGGUUGCCACUAACCUUCCAUGUUAAUUGUUAGUUUGUAGCUUUCGAGGUUCCUGUGCUUCAUGUUAUUGUAUCAUUGUUGCGAUACCACAUGGUCUUCUGUUACUUCCGACGCUAGCAUAUGCGUACGUGCAACACACGUUGAUAUUAGGGAGGAAAUUAAUUGCACGUUGAUAUUAGGUAGGAUAUAAUGAUAUAACACAUUAAUUAUGUGAUUAGCACAAACGUUGAUAUUUGGUAUGAUAUUAAUUGCACGCUAAACAUGUUGAGCGCUCACCAUUGGAGCAAUCUAGAUUGUUGGAUUGUCAUGGUUUGAUGGCCGAGAUUAAUUGGAUCUGCCCCUUUGGGUCUUUUUAUAUUGGUAUAAAUAUAAAUGUUACAAAUGCCUAGUGUCAAAACGUUAGUAUGAUGCAAGAGUUAGAAUAGAAAUAUGUACAUUGACAAAAGAGUGGUCAUGAGACUGUUUUCAUAGUAACGGUGUGGUGUAACUUUGUAGGGAAUGCGUGGAAGGCCCUAUUUGAUUUAGCUGGAGGUUUGAUACGGGAGUACGAUCGAGAAGCUAUGGUAUCCGUAAGCAAAUUUGUCGAUCAGUUACCAUCAGUAAUGAAUCAGGUAUUAUAUUUAUAUGAAUCUAACUUAUAUUUCAUUAGUGAAAUGUGCUCUGACAACAUGUUUGUCCAUAUAUAUCUUUUUAAUCCUGAACAUACAUUCUUCCCAUGUUAUUUACAGGUUACAGAAGGUGUAUCUGAAUUCAAACCAACACCACCUGAGAACCGUGAAUUCUGCAAGAAUUCUUACAGUGUAGCUAAUACAUUAUUGGUACUGUUGAGAAACUUGCACUUAAGCAAACCUCUUUCCGUUCUAAUUUACCAAUCGCUAAUGGUCCGUGUACGUAUUGUAGGUCAAAUUCAGCGUUGAUGCUAUUGAUGAUACAGACAUAAUUGAGGACAUCUUGAGACCUCGGGUAGACUCAAUUGGUGGACAAAUAAAGAAGGUCGUACUGUCAGGAACACAUCUAACUCCGUGUAUACAGGUACAGCUAGUUAUUUUUUUCACCUUCAAAUUGUAUGGUGCAUCAAAUGCAGUUAUAUAGAAAUAGAACUCUGUAAAAUUCGUGUAGAACUUGUUUGAUUACUGUGAUUCACCACCAAUAGUAUCUACCUGGUGCUAUCACUAGAAAACAAAAGGAUAUUUUUAGUUUAGUCGGGUUGGAAUUCUCAGAGUCACUGGAUCAUAUCUUAGACCAGUGCUCUGUUAAUAUGUAAUACCAUUUAUGUAUAAAACAUUAAUAUUAAUGUCUGCCAGUGCCAGGCACUAACUAUAGCUAUACUACAGGAUGUUAAAUGGCAGGUUGGUUCAGAAUACACUCCAGCGGAUGCUCUGGCGCAGGGCUUAAAAUCAUUGGCUCUCAAUGAGACCAGGGUCCUCUCAAGAACUAUCGCUGACUACUUCAGAUCCCUUUAGAAGCCUAGAUUAUAAUUUAUUCUAUGUCCAUUGAAGUUCAGAAUGCUGCUUAUGAAGGUAUGUGACACUACUGAAUCUUUGUGUAACUUCUGUGGUGUAAAAACCUAGGACCAUGGCUUGCAUUAAUCAUACAUUUAUUUACCACAUUGGAGAUGCUUUUACACACAUCAGAGCCAGAAGGGCAGAAAUAUCUAUCUGUAGAAUCUAUAGUGCUAUACAGUCUUCAUUCAGUUUCAUCACAAACAUUUUGCUGGUUGCCGCUUUCCUGAUGCAGUUGGCUGGGGUGUGGGGGGGUUGCCAUUACAAGGACACACCGGAGUAAAUAUUAUAGCACCUAGGACUCGAAGAGCGAUGUAUGUGGACCGAGUUGAGUACGUUGGCACCGGCAGGCCGUACAUCUACUAUAUGAUCUGAUCAAGAUUUGGAGGUUGGGACCAAGUUGUUGGACUCUAGUCAGGCUAUGCACUGCAUUUAACCCGAAAUCCAAGAGAACAACGAUCCAUUCUCAGGUAUGGCACCAGCGACGCUGAGUUGGCCGUAUACACCUUGCAGCAGGCAGGCAGGCAAGCCUGUCCAUGCCUUCUUCUGGUUGUCAUUUUACGUGUAAUACGACAAUAUAUACUUAUACAUCAUGUGUAGAUUGCCAUGUUAUAUGUACUGUAGAGUAACAUAUGGGACAGUAUUGUGCACAUGUUGUAGAAUGUUACAAGUGCAGCAGUUGUGAGUUGGUCAUGAAUUUCACCGGUUGGGUAAAAGCCCGGUAAGAACUACCGUGCCUAGUUCUAGAGUAAAUUAGCCAGUUCAGAGCAACUCCAAUGGGGCGACCCAUUUCGUCCGCCGCUGUCCGUUUGGGUCGGCGUGGACAUAAAACGCAGUCCAACGUGCUGACCCAAACGGACGUGUGUCUGCUUUUCGUUCGCGGGCGACCCAUUACCGGCUCAUUUUUGAGCCGGAUUUGCGUCGGCGCGGACACGCGACGGACGCGCGCAUGCUCGCCUUCUCCUCUCUCCGGGCCCGCUGGUCGGUGGCACAUUGGCCUCCCCCCUCACCCCCCAGCGAACAGCAACCCUCGCCCGUCUUUUUCGUCGCCGACGCCCUUGCCCAUUUUUACUGGCGACUCUGCCAGCCGCCGCCGCCUCCACAUUGCCCAGCAACGCCGCCCACUCCCCCAUCGUUUGCCACCGCUGUCUUGCCACCGGGGAGCAGACUGCUUCCCCACCCCCCGCUCCCUCACCGCACAGUCAUCCGUGACCAAGAAGCCGCCUUGCUGCCCCGGCUAGAUCCUCACCGGCACGCUCAUCUGCAACCAAAUCUCAUGCUGGAUCGCGAUGGUGCGGCUCUAGCAAGCCACUGUCAGAGCCAGACCAAGGCCUGGACCCUGGACGUACGCGUCAGUGCAUGCAGCCGCGUCGAGUUAAUUGCAAAGUACCACAACUGAGGCAUCACAUACAGAUUGGUACCACGAUUACUAAUUUUUACGUGUCAGUGCCAACAUUGAUUCAAGUUUUUGCAAAAAAGGCUAAACGCUGAUUUAUAUGUAUUGACGCUGUAUCCGACAGCUCGGGCCCACCCGUCAGGUGCCAAGCUGGCCAAUCGACGCGUGCCCGCGCGCUGACUAGGACGAGCCGCUCUCCAACCCGGUCCGGUCGCACCGGUUCGCCCCCACCGCACCAUUCCCCUCCCCUCCUCCUCCUCCUCCUCCUCGACUCGAACCCUAGUCCAUGGCGUUGGCGACUCCGGCAGGCGGCGGCGAGGGUGUCGGCGGCGGCGGUGACCUACCGUUUUGGCCGCCUAGCGGCCCGGCUGGCGUCGACGGCGACGGAGGCGACGACUCCAGCUCCGCUUACUCAAGCGAUGACGGGGAGGAGUCACUGUUACUCUCCAUGGAGCAGCGGCUGCGGUUGGCGCAGUUGUGGGUGGCGAACCCUAGCAGCAGCCAUGAGUUGACGCAUGGACUCAGCGGCGUGUUGUACGUAUCCUUCUCCCCCUCCUCCUCUGAUUUAUCCAAUUGUGGAUUUUUAGGAUUAGUUCAUCUCCAGUUGGGGAUUAGGGUUUGUUCAUCUUCUGUGAGCACCGUAGGACAAUUACAGUAGCCUAGUAACCUAGUGUAGAAAGUAGUUCAAUUACAGUAUCAAAUUGGGAUUAGAGUUUGACUAAUUGAAGUAUUUUGUCCUUAUCUUUUUCAUUGAAUAUGCUAUUGUGCUCAAAUGGUCGAAGCUACAUUGAUUCAUGUUCUGUCUUAUAGGAAAGUUAAUUCAAAUUUUUUCCUGUAGUGUACUGUUGCUCUCCAAAUUUAGAGUUAUGAUAAUGAAUAAAUGAAAACGAAUUUGUUCUGUAGUUUGGAUGAAGACAUUUGGCAAGUAAGGAUCCAUUUUGAUGCAAGAGAACCAUUGGAGAUGAAGCUUUGUAGUUCAGAUAUUACUUAUCUGAAUUUGGUUGCAGUGAUGAAAACCUAAGGAUUUAAUGCAUAUGAUUGUUUGUUUCACAUUGAAAAUCCAUCUUUAGGAGAGAAAGGGCUGGAUUUGGUAGACGGUCAUGCAGAAUUACAGAUGAUAAAGAGGAAGCUGCAGGACAAAUUGGAGAUUAAUUUGCUAGUUAGGGCUUGUGCACCCCCUGAUAAAGAUUUUGAGUUGCAGCAAUGUGAAAGGCCAGAUUUGUCCACUGUUGUGUACCAAGAUCCUGUUGUUUAUUAUCUGAGUGAGCCUCCUGUCUUAGAUGUUGAUCAGCACAGAGUAGUUUUUGAGAGUCAAUGUAGCAGCUCUAGCACACCCCAUCCUCCUGGUGUUUGCACACAAGAAAGCAAGAAUGCAAAUGCUAAGUUGAAAGCUGUUUUAGAAGAAGAAGAAGAUGGAUAUCAAGGAUAUGAGGUAUAUGAGGACAGUGAUGCUUCUGCCUCUGAUGAGGAUGGUCAAAUUGGAAGUGAGCCUAAUUAUAUGUGUGAUGAUGAAGAUGUAGAGGUGGAAGAGGGGAAGAGACAGAGAGAGUUAGAAGUAGAAGAGGAAGAAUCAGAUGAUGAGCUAUUAGAGGAGGAACCAGUUCUACAUUAUGAGGGUGACAUUGAAGUUGAGGACCCAUUUGAGGUAGAGAAAGAUGGGACUUUUGAAGAAGAAGAAGAAGCAAAUAUAGUUGUACCUGUAAAGAAGCAGAAGCCGCCAGUUAGAAGAGGACCAACUACUAGGUCACAUUGCAGUAAGCUACCAGAGGUUGAGCCUGAUUUCAGACCAUCAUCAGAUGAAGAAGAGAAGGGGUUGUUGAGGGAGAGUGAGGAUGAUGGUUUUCAGCCACUAUCAUUUGUCCUACCAAAGAAAAGGAAGAGUAGGGCAAAGAAAAGGCCUGCUAGGAAGUGGUACAAUGAGAAAAUGGAGCAACCACAUGAACAACUAUGUCUAAAGUUGUGUUUUAGGGAUCAACAUCAAUUCAGAGAUGCUUUGUUGAAUUUGCAUAUCACUCAGGUCAGUAAUUUCAAGUAUCACAGGAAUUCAGAUCAGAGGAUAAUUGUUGAGUGUAGAGAUAAACAAUGCCAGUUCUUUAUGGUGGCAGCAGUUAUAAAAGGGGAGAAAACCUUUAUAAUUAAGAAGAUGAGACUAGAGCACACUUGCCCUAAUACUACUGAGACCACAAGGGUUAGUGCUAAGUGGCUAGCACAGAAAUAUGAGCAUCUCUUCAGAUCUGAUAUAACUACCGGUAUGUAGACUAUAAUUGAUGCAUGCAUGGAAAAAUAUGGUGUAGAUGUGCCCAAGUGCAUGGCAUAUAGGGCAAAGAACAUAGCUAUUGAUGCUGUGUUGGGAGAUCACAAGAAGUAAUAUCCUAAGCUUAAAGACUAUGCUCAGACUGUCAUGGACACAAACCCUCGGAGCAGAGUAAUAGUCACUACUGUUACUCCAGUACCAACUGCAAGAAUACCCCACCCAGGCCCAAGAUUCCAUGUCAUGUUCUUUUGCAUGAAUGGAGCAAGGGAGGGGUUUCUCAAUGGGUGUAGACCAUUCAUUGAUUAGUUCCUGAACCUUGUGCACCUUUACAUAUUGUAGAGUACUACAUAUUGUUUCUCACUUGAAUGUAUUUAAUGUUUCGAAAUGUUGAUUAUGCAGGUGUUGAUGGAUGCUUCAUUAAGCUCACUACAGGUGCUCAACUCCUUGCUGCCACUGGUAGAGAUGGCAACAACAACAUAUAUCCACUGACAUUUGGCAUAGUUGGACAGGAGGACACACCUAGUUGGUGUUGGUUUCUACACCAACUGAAAAUUUGCCUAGGGGGAGAAGUGGGCAAGUUUGGACCUUAUACUAUAAUGUCAGAUAGACAAAAGGUAUGUGUUUUGCACAAGUGUUUACAAUAGCUUAGAGUUUCAUUCUGUUUUGCACAAGUGUUUACAGUAGAUUAGAAUGCAUAUUUCAUUCAUUGUUGCAUAUUUUUUUAGCUUUACCUGAUGUAGAACACAUCAAUAAAAGGACCUUUCCGAUGUCCGAAUAUAGUCGUCCAAUAUAUCGAUCUUUACGUCUCGACCAUUUCGAGACUCCUCGUCAUGUCCCCGAUCUCAUCCGGGACUCCGAACUCCUUCGGUACAUCAAAACAUAUAAACUCAUAAUGAAACUGUCAUCGAAACCUUAAGCGUGCGGACCCUACGGGUUCGAGAACAAUGUAGACAUGACCAAGACAUGUCUCCGGUCAAUAACCAAUAGCGGAACCUGGAUGCUCAUAUUGGCUCCCACAUAUUCUACGAAGAUCUUUAUCGGUCAGACCGCAUAACAACCUACGUUGUUCCUUUUGUCAUCGGUAUGUUACUUGCCCGAGAUUCGAUCGUCGGUAUCUCAAUACCUAGUUCAAUCUCGUUACCGGCAAGUCUCUUUACUCGUUCUGCAAUACAUCAUCUCGCAACUAACUCAUUAGUUGCAAUGCUUGCAAGGCUUAUGUGAUGUGCAUUACCGAGAGGGCCCAAAGAUACCUCUCCGACAAUCGGAGUGACAAAUCUUAAUAUCGAAAUACGCCAACCCAACAUGUACCUUUGGAGACACCUGUAGAGCUCCUUUAUAAUCACCCAGUUACAUUGUGACGUUUGGUAGCACACAAAGUGUUCCUCCGGCAAACGGGAGUUGCAUAACCUCAUAGUCAUAGGAACAUGUAUAAGUCAUGAAGAAAGCAAUAGCAACAUACUAAACGAUCGGGUGCUAAGCUAAUGGAAUGGGUCAUGUCAAUCACAUCAUUCUCCUAAUGAUGUGAUCCCGUUAAUCAAAUGACAACACAUGUCUAUGGUUAGGAAACAUAACCAUCUUUGAUUAACGAGCUAGUCAAGUAGAGGCAUACUGGUGACACUUUGUUUGUCUAUGUAUUCACACAUGUAUUAUGUUUUCGGUUAAUACAAUUCUAGCAUAAAUAAUAAACAUUUAUCAUGAAAUGAGGAAAUAAAUAAUAACUUUAUUAUUGCCUCUAGGGCAUAUUUCCUUCAGGGGGAGGAGGAGCGCUCGCCGGUGCGCUACCGCGAGAACCCAAUGGCGUACGAGCCUCCAGUGAUGUGCCACUGCUCAACUCCGAGGAAGGCGCCAAGAUGGAUCUCUUGAAGCAGGUUGAACCCUGGUAGAAGGUACUACAGUUGCGUGGAUGCUCUGGUGAGUGUGAUUUUCUGCCUAAUUUUCCUCCUUUUUUUCUGUGCAAUAGUAUGUGAAAUGAUAUAUAUUUGGACCUUAUGUUUGUGCAUCUUAAUAGCACGGUGGCUGUGGAUUUGUGCAAUGGCAUGAUGAUCCAUUGCCCAAAUUUUGGAGUGAGCUCAUUGGGGAUUUGCGUGAUGAAGUCUGGAGGCUUAAAGGUGCAACUGUUACUCGAUCUGAAGAUCAAUUUCCAAUGGUAACUCCCAAUGAAGAUGAUGGCACAAGGGAGGCCAUGGUUCUGUCUCUGCAAGCUCGAGAGAAUAAUGCAGAGAUUGCUGGGAUUACGGCCAAAUUUCACAAUGUGCUAUUUCUUUUCACUAUAUUUGUGCUUGGCUUAGUUGCAGGCAAGAUCUGAAGUUAGUUAGUUAGUUGGUUUAUAGAAACUAAAUGCAAUGUACGGUCCUCAAGUUGAAGCCAAGUUGCUCUUGUUUAGUUAGUUAGUUGGUCUAGUUAGUCGGUUUAGUUGGUUUAGUUGCUCUAGUUUAAGACAAGUUGUCUUUUGUACUGUUGCUUUAGUUGCUCUAAAUGCAAUGUACUGUUGGUUUAGUUGCUCUUGCUUAAUAUGUAAUGGAUCAGUGAGGUUAUCUUCUGAUGCAAUGAGAUUGAGUCAGUCUUGAUCUCUUUUAUUUUGUAUGACAUGAGUGGUUUGCUGCAACAUUGUCAUAAUGUAUGAUUAUCAACAUAUCCAUCUACAUAAUCAGCACUACAAAAUAAGAAACUGAUCCAUGUCUACCAAUCAUACCACACAUUAAAUUCUGGAGUUCAACUCAUUAUAGCCAUACAUAAUCAUUUGUUCACAAUACAUAGAGGAGUUCAACUUCAAAUGCAUAGUUCAUCCUUUUCUCACAAAAGGAUGAAUAUCGUAACUACUACAUACAUACAUAGCCAUAGUUUACAAUUAGUACAAGCAUACAGUACACAACCUUAGUUCCUAGAUGCUAGGUCAUUACACAACCAUCAUUCCCAAAAGGUCAGCAAUGCCACUGAUCUCAUUUUCAUCUUCUUCACUUCUCCAAAAUGGGCUGAAUCCCCUUGAACUUCUCCUCCAGCUUUUCAUUUCCCAUCAUAAGCUCACCAUUCUGAAACUCUAACUGCCACUUCUCUUGAAUAUGCUUUUCCUUUCCCUUAAGCAGAUCAGCAACCUGAAGCUUCAACUCUAGUUUCUCUUGGGUGAGCUUCUCCUGACACUUUGUUAGCUCUGAAUUCUUCAGCUCCAAAUUCAUCCUAGCUAGCUUCAGUAAGCACUUGCUUCUCUUUCAUUUUGUUCAACUUCAAGUUCUGAAUGACUGUUGCUUGAGCUCUUGUCAAGUUGACCAGCAGCUCAUACUUCUGACUAAGUUUCUGGGUCUCUGCAUCUUUCUUUGCCAUCUCAGUUGCCAUCUGUGCCUUCAUAUCAUCAAUCAGUUCUUUUUUUUACCUCCUGCUGAUAUGUAAUGGCAGACUGCAGAUGUCUGAAAUCCACCACCCUAUCCUCCUGGAAGUUCAUAAGCUGAUGCACAUCUUAGACUAGCUUGUCAUAGUUGGCCUCCAACUUGUUCUUCUCUUCUGUCAGAUGGUGGAUAGUGAAAGAACUUUCAAGAUUGUCAUUCACCCUAUCACUCUUGGCAUCUUCAACCAUUGCCCAUAGCUUUAACAAUGCAUUUUGCAUUGUUGGGGGCCACUGGUGAUCAACCCAUUCAACAAAGCCACAAUUGCUACCUUCCUGCAAAAACAACAACAACACCAACAGAGUUCAUACAACAAGUAAUUACCCAAGAUCACUAAAAUUGCCAACAAGAAUAUCUAAAUUUAACAAGAGGAGCAGCCACUUGAGUAGCUGACUGACUAGGUUAGAUACUCUAGUGUUCAUAUCAAGGUGUGUUCAACCAUUUUUAAACAUAUGGUCAGUUAAAAAAAUUUCACAGCAAGCAGAGUACUCCAGCAAGCAAAAUAUGCUCAUGCUUGACCUAAAUAAGCUACUCUAGUACCACUAUGAACCAAAAUUACCAUGCCAUUGUACUCCAACAAACAAAAUAUACUCAUGCUUGACCUACAUAAGCUACUCUAGUACCACGAUGAACCAAAAUUACUAUGCCAUUGUACUCCAGCAAAAUAUACUAAUGCUUGACCUAAAUAAGCUACUGUACUACCACUAUGAACCAAAAUGUUCACAACAAGCAGAUUACUCUAGCAAGCAGAGUUCAAUAUGGCACUAACAAACUAAGAAAAAAAUCAGUAUGCCUACAAUCCAUACCGGGUGUGCACAUGCUAAAAACCUCCUGCCUGUGUCAGUUCCUUCAAAGGCAACAAGCCUCUCAGAUGGUUUGCCGUGCUUCUCACAUGGGGACAUCACAUCCAGCUCAAGCCCCUUGUAAUCUGGAUCUUUAAGGCUGAAAGGGACCUGCAGAAGCUCGCACAAAGACAAUGGCCAAAUCAAAACCUACUUAAAUCAACCAAAUCAAGUAAUCCCAAAUCUGAAACCCUAACCCUAAACUCACUGUCCUGACCUGGUUGAGCCCGUCGGUGGAGGAGGAAGACUGCAUGUACGGGUGGCUAGACUGGUCGUCGUUGCUUUCGUCCUCCAAAACCAUGGCGUCGGCGGGGCGGUGCGGCGGCCGACAGUCGGGACGCGGGCGGCGGCGACGGAGGGAAUGAGUCGAGGAGGAGGAGGAGGAGGGGAGGGGAAUGGUGCGGUGGGGGCGAACCGGUGCGACCGGACCGGAUUGAAGAGCGGCUCGUCCUAGUCAGCGCGCUGGCACGCGCCGAUUGACCAGCGUGGCACCUGACGGGUGGGCCCGAGCUGUCGGAUACAUCGUCAAUACGUAUAAAUCAGCGUUUUAGCCUUUUUUGCAAAAACUUGAAUCAAUGUUGGUACUGACACGUAAAAAAUAGCAAUCGUGGUAUCAAUCUGCAUUCGAUGUCUCAAUUAUGAUACUUCUGUGCAAUUAACUCAGCCGCGUCCGUCCCUUGCGUUCAGACAGGUUGGCUCGUAGAGAUAUCCAUGCUCGAUCUGUCACUGACGAGAGAGAGAUGGGCGAGGCGCCCAUGCUGCAUGCCCAUAGCUACCCGCUACCCGGCACGCAGAAACCGUCACGCCCGCCCGCAGAACCAACGGCGGCUAGUGCUCUCGGGAUGCGCGCCGCGGCAAGUGGAAGCAAAAUGGCCGACGGACGUGCAUGGUGGCUAGCUGCGUUGCCCGGGGCAUGGGGCCGGCCGGUAGUUUCCUGUUGAUUCCUACGGCCUGCUUCGCCUUGGCGGCUGGACAACUACUGGCAGGAGUACCUCCCUGCUCGAUGGAAAUGGAAUCCAUGUGUUUGUGCCUUGUGACUUUGAUGCCAUGCUCGACAUUCAGUUGCGUCCUCAACUUCGAUCACGUAACCGAGGUGCUGUCUACGUGCAUGUGUUCCACUCGUUUUUCAUGGGGGGUGUCCGCCGUCUGCGUGUUUCAAUCGUGCUACCAGGUACUACCUCGACGGAUGAAGAUCAAUGCUCGAUCGACACGGCGACAAUAGCUGACCCAACUUCGUGCUUCUUGCCAACCAACAAGUUCGUGAUGGAAAAUGUAAGACGUCGACUACAUUGCCUCUAUGUAUGCAUGCAUGUGCGCGCGUUUGCAUAGGACAUACUGUAGGAGAUGUAGGACACAAACGACGAGCUUUGCUACAUCUACGUAAAUUUUUUUACGUAACCUACGUAAAAGAUGAGCUGGCCUGAUUUGGUUGAAUGGGAAAUAGGCCCAGGUUCACCCCGUGAAAAUCAAGGGGGCGAUUAGUUUAGCGUUAAAGAAAGAAUGUAGCUCUACGUAGCUGGUUUCGUAAGUCUAGCAUUUUUGCACAAACGACAUACCCCGGCGCCGAUGGAUCGCUUCGCCUACAGGCUACAGUGUGCAUGAACAAUGCCGUGCGCGAUCGUUGUCUACUUGGCCACACAUUAACUUCACGUGCAUCGUGCAUGCUACUACAACAUAGUUUGGGGUUAAUACACUUUGAUAUUUAUUUUAGAGUAAAGUGCAUUGUAGUAGGUCCCUGACUAGAGCCGACGGCGGUUUGCGGUCUCGGGAUCCGCGCCGCCCGCAAGUGGAACCGAGUGAUCGUCGGACGUGCAUGGUGGCGGCGUUGCCCGGUGCAUGGGCCCGGUAGUUUCCUGUUAAUUCCUACGGCGUGGUUCGCUUUGGUGGCCGGAGAAUUGAUACCUUCGUACGCAAUCGAAUCCAUGUGCUUUUUUGCCUCGCUGUUAGCGGGAACGGGUGAAAAUCGAUGAAACUAGUCUUUUUCUGAAACUUCAACAUAAAAAUGAUCCUAGUCUAAAAAUAUUUCACAAACUGUCUCCUUUUUGCAUGACGUCCGGGGAUAGGGCGCCAUGGUAGUGUAGCAUAACGUCACGGGCUAGGGCGUCAUACAAAAAGGUCAAUUUCGAAAAUAUUUUUAGAUUGAGGCCAUUUUGUGUUGAAGUUUCGAAAAAGGGCUAGUUUCGUCGUGUUGCGCCCGCAACGGAGUACUAGAAAUCCGACCCGAGAUUUGUAAGUAUGGCAAAUCCAACAUCUUUUAGGAAAUUUAUGUCGGCAUAAGGUUGGAAAUUUUAGUUUGCAAGCAUGGCAAUUUUAUGGGAAAAAAUAAACUAAGAUGGAUUUGCCAUGCUUGCUAAGUAAACUUGCCAUCCUCGGCAAAUGUAAUUUGCCAUGAUAAAAAGUCUGAUGUCAAAUUUGUAGUCGGGGUCAGGUCCUUUUUAUUUCAUUGCAUGUGGAUUAUAUUUUUGUUUUGCUUCUUAUUCCAUUGUGUAUUUGAUAGUGGAACCGAUCUAUUUUCGGAUCGCAUGAAUGAAAAAGAAAAAGGAAACAUCUUUUCUGCAUCGUGAUUUUGUGCCAUGGUCGACGGACAUUCAGUUGUGUCGCGUCGUCGACUUUCAGAUGACACAUGAUUUGUUUGGAUUCGAUCACAUAACCGAUGCGCUGUCUACGUGUGUUUCGCAUGUUUCUUUGUGGGAGGGAGUCCGUCGUGUACGUGUUUCGAACAUGCCACCAGGUACUACUUGUAGCGAUCAGACCUCAAACAGUCUGAUCUCUGUGCUCCGGUGUCAUCCCUGGAUCAAUAAUGCUGACACCACACAGUACUCGGAGGAUUUAUAGCAGAGUAGCAAUCACACACUUAUUACAUCGAGUAUCUCAAAAGAGAACUUAUUACAAUAAAUAUGGCUUAAGGCCAUCUAAUAACGAUAACAGCGGAAGGCUUGGAAGAUAAGUGAGUCCAUCAACUCCAACGGCAUCAUUGAGUAUAGAACCACGACCUAAAACUCCUUAAUCGUCGUCUGAAAAGUCUGCAACAUUAACGUUGCAGCCGAAAACGGGCCGGCACAUAGAAUAUGUUGGUAAGGUAACACAUAGAGAGUAAUGAAAUGAAACAGCUAUACUAUAUGCAUAUUUGACUGGUGAAAAGCUUUAUGGUUACAGUUUUGCGUAAAGCCAAUUUUUCCCUACUUCAAAGGAAUAAAUUUAUUUAACUAUCAUGGUAGUUGUUAAACAUUGAAAAUGGUUGACAGCAUUCUCAAUCCCAAUUAAGCAUCAUCAUUAAACAUAACCCAACAAAAUUAAAUUUAGAGUAACAUGUUGAGAUUCACAUGAUAAUCCAGGUACUAGAUACUCAAGAUGUCCAUAACCGGGGACACGGCUAACCAUGAUUAGUUUAUUACACUCUGCAGAGGUUUGCGCACUUUUUCCCACAAGACUCGAUCGCCUCCAUUUGGUUUCUCGCACUACAUGGUGUUUGAGAAGACGGAUGACCGAGACAUAGUCUUUCAGAAGCGCUAGCAACUUACGAUCGGGUAGACCGUACCACCUACAUCCCCUACAUCUGCUAGUCUACCACUGUAAGAGUUCGCACGACUUAGUCAACUAUGCUAGAGCCCAUAAUAGUUUGUGGCUGCACACGGAAGUUUCUAGUAUGAAUAGUCUCAUGAUCCCUUUGAGUCUGGGUGACGGUCCAAAAGAAAACAGGCAAGUCCUGAAAUAUCUAGGUGCCUCAAUCCAUCCAGAUGUGUGUUUAAAUUGCCACCUUAGAUAAAUCAUUAAUUAACAAAACUCACAUCUAUCAUGGAUAUCACUCACCCAAUCCACGUCUACUAGCAUAGCAUGGCAUAAUAAGCAAACAUAGAAGUAACUUCCAAAGGUUUGAUAAUAAACAGGUAAUAGGUUCUACCUCAUCUACUUCCCAUCCUACAAUUUAAUUAGAUCAUAACCAUGCAAUGUGUGAGGAUUGAUCUAAUGCAAUAAAACUGGGUAGUAGGAAAGGUAUGAUCAAAGUGUUACUUGCCUUGCUGAUGAUCCGCGAAACCUAGAGAUUCGAAGUAACAGGCGGCGCACUCCGGGUAUUCUAUCGCAGACAAACAAACAAGCAUAUAAUAAGUACUCAUCUAAUGCACGGGUAAAACUCAAAUAAGAGAUCUAACUAGAAGGUUCAACUUAAAAACUCCGGUUGGCAAAAAGAAUCAAAUCGAACGAAGCAACGAAAGUCAAACGGUGAAAGAAAACAACUUUGUUCUACUAAUCUGGAUCUAGGGGAAAUUUUACAGUAGAAAAUCUUGUUUAAGUUGGUUAAACGGAUAGAGGGUUUCGAGACGAAACUCCAGGUGCUUGAAUCGCCUGAUUCCGAUAAAUGAGCGAAAAGUUACACUAAAACGAAAAUCGGACCAGGAAUGGCGAUCAGACAAAUCACGGAUUUAAUCCGAGAAAAAGAAAAGACGACGAACGCUCGCUAAAUUAAAUAAACCGGAAAACCGAUCUAUUUUAAAAAACCGAAACUAAAAAAAACGACGAAAAAACCGAACGGUUUUUCAAAAAAAAAAUUAAAAAAAACCGGGCACGGAUUUUGAGGCGGCGGCGUGCGGCGGCGGCGGUGGCGGGGCGGCGCGGCGCGGCGGGGCUAGGGCGGCGCUAGGUUUCGGCUGGGGCUGGGGCUGGGCCUCUCCCCGGCUUAUAAAGGCUAGCCGGGCCGGAGUACUAGUCGGACACGGCCCGUAGGUCGGUUUGAUUUUUUUUAAAUAAUUACGCACAGAAGAAAAAAUAAAAAGAAAUACUAAACCGACUCCAAAAAUUUCGAAAUAAAUUUUCAUGGAUUUCUAAAAUCAAGCCGCACAAGGUGAACAUUUAUUUGGGACCUAAAUGAAAUGUUGAAAAACGCACAUUUUUCCUAAAUUCAAAUAAAACACCGAAAAACUCCGAAAUAAAAUCUUAUUUGAUUUUAUUAUUAAUCUUCAAUAUUUCUUUAUUUUGGAAAAGUCAUUUUAUUCCCUCUCUCAUAUUUUUGUAAUAGAAAUAAUUGAUGAUAAAAAAAUUAAAUUAAAUGAUCAUAUUCUCAAAAUUUGAGAAAACUCAAAUAUGAAAAUAACGAAAUCUCCAACUCUCUCCUGGGUCAUUGAGUUGCGUAAAAUUUUUUAGGAUCAACCAAAAUGCAAAAUAAAAUAUGAUAUGCAAUGAUGAUCUAGUGUAUAACAUUUCAAAUUAAAAAUUUGGGAUGUUACACUACUUCGCCGGAGGAUUAAUGCCCGAUCGACACGCAUUGCGAUGGCUAGCCCAACUUCGCGCUUCUUGUGACCCAACAAGUUGAUGUUGGAAAGGGAAGAUGUCGACUACAUUGCCUGUACACAUGCAUGUGCGCACGUGUACGUAGGAGAUAGUGUCCCAAACGAUAUACCUACCCCCGUGCCGAUGGAUUACUUUUCCUAGAGUGUGCAUGAACAACUUCACGUGCAUCGACGACGACGGUGUGCUAGCACAACACAAUUUGGAGAGGGACUAAAUAAACAUGGACUUGAUCAUCAGAUAGUUAUUUCUACAGAUUAAUGAAGAAACCGAGACGGUAUCGUGUCGUGUGGUGUCCCCUUGAUUUUGCAUACAGUGGCCAGCACCGCUGGUAAAUCGGGCAACGCGACCAGAGUUCAGUCUCCGUCGUGUCACACCAGAGACCAGUACUCACGCCAGUAUAUGCAAGAUCAUUCCGCAGAGAACUUUGUUGUCUUCUAGGCACCUUGCUGUGCCUGCCAAAUGAUGUAUGGCCGCAACAUCGCGCCGUUUUGGAUGGGUUUUAAUUGGCCGAUGACAAAUGCACCGUGUUAGGAUACGCCGGGAACAAAGAUCCAAAUUACACGCCGCGGCUAGCCAAGCAUCUUCGUACAUGCGUGCAUGUUCGUUCAACAGUGAGCUAGCUAAUGACCGAAUAAUUUCGUAGGUUGCACGUAGGCCACUGUUGCACAUUUAUUAUACUCAUCGUCAGGUCCAGGAAGGAAACAGAUCCACGUUCGUAUACGUCCAUACGUGCGCAUGCACAUCGUGCAUGGACGGACCGGCGCGUUCGGCUCGUCGCGGUUCCCGACGUAGCAUAGUGAAUCGCUGCUCUUGCUUGGUCUCGCUUCGGCCAGGCAGGCGCGCCAGUGUGCCGCGAUAGUAUAUGCAUGCUAUCCCUCCUCCCACAUGCUCCAACUGCCUCUCGAUCGGCCGAUCCCUAUGUGCCACCUCUCUGUAGCACGUGCGGCCUACGCUGGCUAGCGGCAGCUAGGAUAAGUCACAUCAGUUUUUUGUUAUCCCUUAAAUAAAUAUACACAUUUGUUAUCUCUUUCAGCCGAUGGAGUCAUGCUAUGGUUUCGUUUUAUUUUACAAUACACCAAAACCAACUCAGCUACGUGGUGCUAAUACACAUGGACAUGGACAUGGAUGUACGUAGUACAUGCACGUGUGGGCGCGCCAACGAGCUGAGAGAGAGAGAGAGAGACGGGCCGGAUCCGGCGGCCACCUGGCUGAUUCCACCAAUUUAGGCGUGAUUUACAUACACAUCAACACAUGCAUGCACCUGGGACACCAUCCAGUAAGCACGUCACAUGCAGAUGCAACGCCGUAUCUAUCUAGCCUUAAUGAUCUUGUAAUGAUCGGCUUUAUCCAGGACCGGCGGAGGAUCACGCUCACGCUCCGGCCGAUCAAGAAGCUCCGGCCUGGUCUUGGUCUUGGAUGCCCUCCUUGACCGUCCCGUCUGUUAUCCUCGUGCCCGCGGGCGCCGGACCGGCGCCUUGUCCCAAACAAGCGGCGAUCUCGGCUAUACUCGCCGGUUGUUUUCAUCUGCACGUGCUGCGCUCACCUAUCCUGUCAUUGCAUGCAUCCAUGCAGCACCGAUCUGUGCAUGUGUGGUUGUUAGCCACAAGUUUUUUCUCCUUAGGGUGUGGUUAGAUACAGUAGCAAGUUGGUACGUGCAUGCGUGGACAGUGGACGCCCAAGUUGCAUGCGCCCGGCCCAGUGCGCGGCCGCGCGCGCACCCGAAUGCUCGGCGGGUGUGUGCAGUGCACGCAUGCAGACAUGCAGCACGAUGCAAGUGGACGCGGCGCCCACGUAGUACGUAGGCCGUGCGUGUCUGCCCCCGGCUGCCGCCUGCCGCCUGCCGCGGCGCGGCAUUGAUGACGCCGCCCGGACAUGCACACAGCACGACCGCGACCCGUACGUGCCUGAAAUCAAAGCGUACGCGCACGGGGCAGAAUCUCCCCGCCAACGCGCGCGCGCCGUGCCGACGGCCGUGAGUUCACGGCACACACCGGCGUGAGCUUGUCACAGCGCACAACCGAAGACGUACGUGCUCAGUACGAGCAAACGGAGACUCUCAGACCGCCGCUUCCGGGGUCCAAAACACCAGCGACCAACAAAGAGUUCGUCUUUGAGCUGAACCCUUUUUCUAAUAUGUUUUUUCUUCAAAUGAUCCAUCAUAUCAAACAAUCAUGCAUGUAGGGGAAAAGGGGGACGAAGAACCGGAGAAACGUUGCUGUCGUCGGCCCAUCGCCGGUUAACAUUGAAUUGACGAGNNNNNNNNNNNNNNNNNNNNNNNNNNNNNNNNNNNNNNNNNNNNNNNNNNNNNNNNNNNNNNNNNNNNNNNNNNNNNNNNNNNNNNNNNNNNNNNNNNNNNNNNNNNNNNNNNNNNNNNNNNNNNNNNNNNNNNNNNNNNNNNNNNNNNNNNNNNNNNNNNNNNNNNNNNNNNNNNNNNNNNNNNNNNNNNNNNNNNNNNNNNNNNNNNNNNNNNNNNNNNNNNNNNNNNNNNNNNNNNNNNNNNNNNNNNNNNNNNNNNNNNNNNNNNNNNNNNNNNNNNNNNNNNNNNNNNNNNNNNNNNNNNNNNNNNNNNNNNNNNNNNNNNNNNNNNNNNNNNNNNNNNNNNNNNNNNNNNNNNNNNNNNNNNNNNACGCUUAAUUUAAAAUUCUCUCUUUUAGAGUUGGAACUUAAUCUAAUUAGCUCCUUUUACAUUAAUAAAGAGGCGCUAACGACAUGAAAGCAUGUCUUCGUCGUUUCCCUCGCCACUUUGCUGCCCCCCUCGAACGAUCUCAUUUAACUCACAGUCCUAAUUAAUCUAGUCGUCGAUCACCGAUAAGCUUCACUAACUUAAUCGCCGGUUUUCCUCAUACGCCGCCACGUCCCAUAUUCUCUCCGGCGCCGGCCCUUGGUGCACGAAUAUUUAUAUCUUUAUUGCAUGUAGUGAUAUAGUACAUCAAACAAGACGAUAGGGAGAGCAGGUCGAUCGCUUGGUGUUCUCCCUAUGAUUGAUCGCAAUGGUUCAUGCAUGCAUGUCAUGCUUUGGCGGGAAUCAAAUCCUACUAGCUGACAAGCGGCAACAUCAUUUUUAGAUUUGACGAUCGAGCAAGCCUCCAACCACUCGUCUAGUGCUAGACAUCUCGUCCUUGGAGGUUAAGAGAGAAUCUCAAGGACGGGCCCCCUAGAUGCCUUUGUCAAAUCACCGAAUGGCUUCCUGCGGAGAAGACUAAUGGCGCAAAAUAGGACAGACGGUCUCCUGCUGUUGAUUUGUUUGGACAUUCUUGCGGUUGGCAUUGGAAUUGGACUCCCUAUUUAAUCAUCAUUUUAGAGAAAAGAAAAGAAAAGGUUAGGUGCCAACCGUUUGCAGUUUGUCAAUAUCUACCGUAUGAACUGAUCCUGCCACGUCGAGGGUGACGCAUCAGCGGAUCCACGGUAUAUAUGAUUCCCUCGCGUCACAAAACAUGUCGCUUGAAAUCCAUAUCAGACAGAUUUUUGACGGUUUUGUGAGAAGUUAGCAGUGGUGGACAACGAUAACUGCCAAUCGAUGUCAAUUUCCGUGCAAAAUUUUGCCUUUUUAGAAUUCUUACAACAAAUACUAUGUUUGUGUGCACUGUAUGAACAAAUUCUCACAAAGUAUAGUGAACAUUUUUUAGAUCUAUAUAGUACAUGACAAAAACUGCAACGUCAAUUGAAAACUAAGAUUUUCUUAGUCGAUUGAGACAGUGCUACAUAUUUUUUUGCUCCGUAUGAUAAAACCAUGGCGAACAUUGCUUUUUUUCUUUUCCUUCUUUAUAAGCAAAUCUGCAGAAUAAGCUAAUAAAUAAGACUUCUGUUGGAAGAGUAGGCAAAUUCAUGAUUAAUUUCAGACUUUCAGUAAAUAAUUCAUGAAUAGAACAGAAAAUUGCAUGCAACAAUCUGGCAUAUUAGAUGAAUAGGAAAACAUGCACAACAUCAUCGCACAUAUAACAACAACUACAAAUAGACAUGAACAAAUCAUGAUGAACGUACUGUUCGUUAGCUGCUGCAGGAGCGACGUUGUUGAUGACAAUGUUGGCGACGGUCUUUUGUUUUUGUUGAUGGCGUUGGAGAUGACGAUGAGCAGCCCCGCUUGACUUGGACAGAAGAUCACCCGUGAUGACGAACUUGAGCAGUUGCGCAGAGUGCUUCACAAAAUACUAAUUCGUCAUCUUUCGGUGCAGGAUCGUAAGGACGAACGAUUCCGUAGACCUGCUCUCCCGCAUGCCGACAACUUGUCUGCCAAGAAAUCAAAAAUAAACGACAAAAGGAAGUUGUGCCUAUGCAAGACAAUGGACCGGGUUUCCAUGGACCAUUCACGCGCAACCUAUUGGAUUUCGGCAGAUCAUUUACGCGCAGCCUCGGCCCGAGCCCAUGCCCGGCCAGGCUAGGUGAGCGAGCACGCGUGUGUGGUCUUUCAUUUCUCUUCUCAACACAUCACUUAGUGUGGUGGAGAGAACCCACUAUAUAAAGAGGUCAAACACUUCCUCCACUAGCGGUAUGAGAAUAAACUUUAGCACCACUACUUGCCCUUUUUACAUGGGCCUCUUUGAGAUUUCAUAAAUUGUACAUGGGUUAUGCCCGCUAUUUCUAACAAUCCCCCGCUAGAUCUCAAAUACCCAUUUAGAGAUUUGUCUUUUCUCGCUACUUGUUUAAUAUACUAGUGUUUCAGCAGAUACUCUUAAGUUGAACUUCUACCUAGAGUUUUAAGCUACAUCCAUUCAGAACUUGACAAUGGACUAUGCCUUGAAUUGCAAGUUUGUGCAAGCAGAGUUCACUCAAAGUCUUAACCAGUAUCUGGCUGCCAGUAGGCUACCCCGCGGUUUGAAGCAUACACCGUACUCCUCGGUCUCUUCGUUUGCUUAAUUACUAGAAAUCAUACAAGUCUCAUACACCGCGAUGUUUACAGUCAGGGCUCAUAUAGGUGUGUUCUUUCAAGACUACUCCGUAGGACAACAUCUUUAAUAAUCAUAGCUAAUAGAACCGCAUUAAGGCAUGUUGUCUACCUGCCUUACCGCUCUGAGCAUUACAACUAUGAGAGUUAUGCAUCUUCAUAUAGAGUGGGUUAUAUGUUACUAUGGUAUGUUAACCAAUAGCUUGUUCUUCUAAGGUCCUCAUUCAUGGGAUCUCCAAUCACAAAGGUUGUGUUACUAAUAUGGUGCAACAUCUAUGGGUCUCAUACCCAUCUCCCUCGAUGCAUUAUAUAUCACAUUUUGUGAUAGUCCCUUUGUAAAGGGAUCUUCCAGGUUUGUCUGUUUGAAUAUACGUAACAUUUAUUACUCCGGGGUUUCUCAAUUUCUUGACAGACUUUAAACGUCUCUUCACAUGUCUUGAUGACUUCACAUUAUCCUUAGAAUUGUUUAGUUUAGCUAUAACCAUUUGGUUGUCACAAUUCAUAAGAACAUCCAGUGUAGGUUUUUCAACCACAUGCAAGUCUAUCAAGAGCUCAUGCGGUCAUUGUGCUUCAACAGUGGUUGUGUCUAAAGCAGUAAGUUCUGCUUCCAUGGUUGACCUCGUCCAUACGGUCUGUUGACAGGAUGUACAUGACACUGCGCCACCCCCAUAAGUAGAUACAUACCCACCUGUGGCGUAGAGCACAUCAACAUCAGAAAUAUAGUUUGAAUGACUACAUCCUUCAAGCACAGCAGGGUGCCCUGAAUAGUGAGUUUCGUAACUCAUAGUACCUCUCACAUAGAAUGAGACCCUUUCUAGUGCAUGUCAAUGAUCAUCAUUCGGGUUGGACAUGAACCUACUCAGUUUGCUCACAGCAAAAGAGAUAUUCGGUAUUGUUGAGCUAGCUAUAAGUACUGAGUGACCGAGAAUUUGAGAGUACCUCAAUUGAUCUCUUGUUUCAUUCUUGUUCUUUCUAAGUGUCACACCAGGAUCAUAAGGUGUUGGAAAAGGCUUGCCAUCCAUAAUGCCGAACAGGCUCAAGAUCUUCUCAACAUAGGUAGAUUGCGUUAAAGUUAUCCCACUCUCAUCCUUAAUCAGUGUGAUGUUUAGAAUUACACUAACUUCUCCCAGAUCUUUCAUGUUCAAACUUUUUGAUAGAAAAGACUUGACCUCAUUGAUCACAUCAAUGUUUGUACCAAAGGUCAGCAUGUCAUCCACAUACAAAUACAACAUAACACCAUCGCCCCACCAUAGCUAUAGUAAACACACCUAUCAACAUCAUUAAUGACAAAGCCUCCAGAAGCCAGAGUUCUGUCAAACUUCUCAUGCCAUUACUUAGGGCAUCUCCAAAGGUGACCCACAAAUUUCCUCCCGCAUUCGCCCGUGAACACGGAUGCGGAAGGCCGCCAUCCAACCGUAGCCACCGAUUGCUUCUAUCUACGUUGGUAUUUCCCCGAAGAGGAGAGGUUGAUGCAGCACAACAACACUAAGUAUUUCCCCCAGUUUUUUUUCGACAAAGGGUGGAUUUUAUUGACUCAAAAUGGAGCAUCAAGAAGAUACAUAACACCAUGAGCACACACCCGGCCUCUGCACAGCUAGGAUGCACACAGCCAACACCAUCUCACACACGCGAGAAAAAUGCCGGCAACUAGCAAAGUCAUAUAAGACCAAAGCUAUGUGUAGGCAAGGAAAAAAAGACCUCAAAGUGAUCAUAUUUGUGAUCGGCAAACUACGACAAUGACCAUAUCCGCACCAACAAUUUCAUUACACCACAUGGACGAUGAGAUUCUUCAACAACAACGCCUUCAGGAAGGGAGGAGCAAUAAUCAAGGGUCACAGUCACCGGAUCCUACCGCAAGGUCAGAAUCUAGGUUUUCACCCUGAAGAAUCAGUCUGAUCAUAUUCGAGCAAUGCCUUCAACAAGGUAGCGACGUAAGAAAAAACAUCACCAUUGCCAGGUAUAACCACUCGGGUCUGACCUAGGCUUUCGCCCCGAAGCUCGAGACCAGGUGCUUGAGUAACACCACCAUCGAAAUCACUCAUGUGUUGUCGCCGCCACUUUUCCGCGAUCCUAGCAGCUACAUGUCAUGCGACCGUCGUCACCGCACAACCAUCCCUUUGCGUCAAGUCAUCGUCCAUAAUUUGUAUCUCACCGCCGAAGUCACCACGGGAUCAGGAGAGGUGACUCAUCCCAAAAACCUUUCGAUGACCACCGCCGUCGUGGAGCCAUAGAUAGUUGCCGCAAUAGAUUUUAGUCACUACCAUCUGGCCGAUCAAAUCUGGAUCACCACCACCAAUUCAUGGACUGUAGCGCCGCUGGCUGGCCACCGUACAAGCAGAAGGCCAACACCCAGCGGUUCCACGGCUCCACAUCUACACCACCACACGGAGCCCUCCAUGGAUGCACCUGAAGAUCAUGCGCACAAGAAACAGAUUGUUGUCUCCUGCUGUGCACAGAACUGAUCCUCAGGCUGUGCUACCUCUUGAGCACUGCGUUGGUUUUUCCCGAAGAGGAAGGGAUGAUGCAGCAAAGUAGCGUAAGUAUUUCCCUCAUUUUUUGAGAACCAAGGUAUCAAUCCAGUAGGAGGCGACACGCGAGUCCCUCGUACCUGCACAAAACAAAUAAAUCCUCGCAACCAACGCGAUAAGGGGCUGUCAAUCCCUACACGGCCACUUACGAGAGUGAUCGAUCUGAUAGAUAUGAUAAGAUAAUAUUUUUUGUAUUUUUAUGAUAAAGAUGCAAAAUAAAAUAAAAGCAAAGGAAAUAACUAAGUAAUGUAAGAUUAACAUGAUGAAGCUAGACCCGGGGGCCAUAGGUUUCACUAGUGGCUUCUCUCAAGAGCAUAAGUAUUCUACGGUGGGUGAACGAAUUACUGUUGAGCAAUUGACAUAAUUGAGCAUAGUUAUGAGAAUAUCUAGGUAUGAUCAUGUAUAUAGGCAUCACGUCCGAGACAAGUAGACCGACUCCUGCCUACAUCUACUACUAUUACUCCACUCAUCGACCGCUAUCCAGCAUGCAUCUGGAGUAUUAAGUUAAUGAAAACUGCGUAACGCCCUAAGCAAGAUGACAUGAUGUAGAGGGAUAAACUCAUGCAAUAUGAUGAAAACCCCAUCUUGUUAUCCUGGAUGGCAACAAUACAAUACGUGCCUUGCUGCCCCUACUGUCACUGGGAAAGGACACCGCAAGAUUGAACCUAAAGCUAAGCACUUCUCCCAUUGCAAGAAAGAUCAAUCUAGUAGGCCAAACCAAACUGAUAAUUCGAAGAGACUUGCAAAGAUAACCAAUCAUACAUAAAAGAAUCCAGAGAAGAUUCAAAUAUUAUUCAUAGAUAGACUUGAUCAUAAACUCACAAUUCAUCGGUCUCAAUAAACACACCGCAAAAAGAAGAUUACAUUGAAUAGAUCUCCACAAGAGAGGGGGAGAACAUUGUAUUGAGAUCCAAAAAGAGAGAAGAAGCCAUCUAGCUAAUAACUAUGGACCCGUAGGUCUGAGGUGAACUACUCACACUUCAUCGGAGGGGCUAUGGUGAUGAUGUAGAAGCCCUCCAUGAUCGAUGCCCCCUCCCGCGGAGCUCCGGAACAGGCUCCAAGAUGGGAUCUCGUGGAUACAGAAAGUUGUGGCUGUGGAAUUAGGGUUUUGGCUCCGUAUCUGAUCAUUUGGGGGUACGUAGGUAUAUAUAGGAGGAAGGAGUACGUCGGUGGAGCAACAGGGGGCCCACGUGGGUGGAGGGCGCGCCUAGGGGGAUAGGCGCGCCCCCCUACCUCGUGGCCUCCUCUCUUGUGUCUUGACGUAGGUCCAAAUCUCCUGGGUCUUGUUCGUUGAGAAAAUCACGUUCCUGAAGGUUUCAUUCCGUUUGGACUCCGUUUGAUAUUCCUUUUCUUCGAAACCCUAAAAUAGGCAAAAAACAGCAAUUCUGGGCUGGGCCUCCGGUUAAUAGGUUAGUCCCAAAAAUAAUAUAAAAGUGGAUAAUAAAGCCCAAUAAUGUCCAAAACAGUAGAUAAUAUAGCAUGGAGCAAUCAAAAAUUAUAGAUACGUUGGAGACGUAUCAAGCAUCCCCAAGCUUAAUUCCUGCUCAUCCUCGAGUAGGUAAAUGAUAAAAACAGAAUUUUUGAUGCGGAAUGCUACUUGGCAAAAGUUUAAUGUAAUUCUUCUUAAUUGUGGUAUGAAUAUUCAGAUCCGAAAGAUUCAAGAUAAAAUUUUAAUAUUGACAUAAAAAUAAUAAUACUUCAAGUAUACUAACAAAGCAAUCAUGUCUUCUCAAAAUAACAUGGCCAAAGAAAGUUAUCCCUAUAAAUCAUAUAGUCUGGCUAUGCUCCAUCUUCACCACACAAAAUAUAUAAAUCAUGCACAACCCCGAUGACAAGCCAAGCAAUUGUUUCAUACUUUUGGUGUUCUCAAAUUUUUUCAAUCUUCACGCAAUACAUGAGCGUGAGCCAUGGAUAUAGCACUAUAAGUGGAAUAGAAUGGUGGUUGUGGGGAAGACAAAAAGGGAGAAGAUAGUCUCACAUCAACUAGGCGUAUCAACGGGCUAUGGACACUACUGGAAUCAGCUAAUUUGCCAUCUGCCAGCUCUUUGCCGUCUGCUAGCUGACGGCAAAGAAGCUCUUUGCCAUCAGCUACCAAAAAGCAGACGGCAAAGAUCAGGCUGACGGCAAAGAAGCUCUUUGCCGUCCGCUAGCAGACGGCAAAGAAUCUUUGCCGUCAGCUGGCAGACGGCAAAGAGAGAGGUGGCCCCCACCCCCCGCCCGUUUGGGAAAAACUUAACGGCCCAUCUCUUUGCCGUCUGCUAGCAGACGACAAAGAGGCAAAAGGGCGGACGGCAAAGAGAGGCGGACGGCAAAAAGGGCAGUAUCUAACGGCCCGUACCCCCCGUCCCUCUCUGUUCUCUCCUCGCCCCGCCACCACUUCCCACCCCACCGCCGCCGCCGCCGCCCGCCGCGNNNNNNNNNNNNNNNNNNNNNNNNNNNNNNNNNNNNNNNNNNNNNNNNNNNNNNNNNNNNNNNNNNNNNNNNNNNNNNNNNNNNNNNNNNNNNNNNNNNNNNNNNNNNNNNNNNNNNNNNNNNNNNNNNNNNNNNNNNNNNNNNNNNNNNNNNNNNNNNNNNNNNNNNNNNNNNNNNNNNNNNNNNNNNNNNNNNNNNNNNNNNNNNNNNNNNNNNNNNNNNNNNNNNNNNNNNNNNNNNNNNNNNNNNNNNNNNNNNNNNNNNNNNNNNNNNNNNNNNNNNNNNNNNNNNNNNNNNNNNNNNNNNNNNNNNNNNNNNNNNNNNNNNNNNNNNNNNNNNNNNNNNNNNNNNNNNNNNNNNNNNNNNNNNNNNNNNNNNNNNNNNNNNNNNNNNNNNNNNNNNNNNNNNNNNNNNNNNNNNNNNNNNNNNNNNNNNNNNNNNNNNNNNNNNNNNNNNNNNNNNNNNNNNNNNNNNNNNNNNNNNNNNNNNNNNNNNNNNNNNNNNNNNNNNNNNNNNNNNNNNNNNNNNNNNNNNNNNNNNNNNNNNNNNNNNNNNNNNNNNNNNNNNNNNNNNNNNNNNNNNNNNNNNNNNNNNNNNNNNNNNNNNNNNNNNNNNNNNNNNNNNNNNNNNNNNNNNNNNNNNNNNNNNNNNNNNNNNNNNNNNNNNNNNNNNNNNNNNNNNNNNNNNNNNNNNNNNNNNNNNNNNNNNNNNNNNNNNNNNNNNNNNNNNNNNNNNNNNNNNNNNNNNNNNNNNNNNNNNNNNNNNNNNNNNNNNNNNNNNNNNNNNNNNNNNNNNNNNNNNNNNNNNNNNNNNNNNNNNNNNNNNNNNNNNNNNNNNNNNNNNNNNNNNNNNNNNNNNNNNNNNNNNNNNNNNNNNNNNNNNNNNNNNNNNNNNNNNNNNNNNNNNNNNNNNNNNNNNNNNNNNNNNNNNNNNNNNNNNNNNNNNNNNNNNNNNNNNNNNNNNNNNNNNNNNNNNNNNNNNNNNNNNNNNNNNNNNNNNNNNNNNNNNNNNNNNNNNNNNNNNNNNNNNNNNNNNNNNNNNNNNNNNNNNNNNNNNNNNNNNNNNNNNNNNNNNNNNNNNNNNNNNNNNNNNNNNNNNNNNNNNNNNNNNNNNNNNNNNNNNNNNNNNNNNNNNNNNNNNNNNNNNNNNNNNNNNNNNNNNNNNNNNNNNNNNNNNNNNNNNNNNNNNNNNNNNNNNNNNNNNNNNNNNNNNNNNNNNNNNNNNNNNNNNNNNNNNNNNNNNNNNNNNNNNNNNNNNNNNNNNNNNNNNNNNNNNNNNNNNNNNNNNNNNNNNNNNNNNNNNNNNNNNNGACCCCGACACGGCACCCCGACACCGACAGGACACCCCGACCACCGACACCUCCCGAAAAGGUGUUCUUUGGCCUUCCAGAGGCCGACGGGGUCAUAUAUUUGUGAAUUAUUAGUUAGGUCAUAUAUUUUUAGAUUUUGUUAUGAAAAAAAUCAUAUAUAAUUGUGUUGAUCGUGUAGUUUUAAAUAUGCAGUUGUUUCAUCGCUGCGAGGUUUGGUGUUCGACGACCUCGCCGUGCGUUUGACGAGCUCUGCCCCUUCGUUCGUGGGUGAGCACAAAUGACAAGUCCUCCUCCCCCAUUAAUUAUUUGAUCUAUUCCGAUGAAACUUGAUAGCUAGCUAUAUAUUAUUAUUCAUGUCGGUCUUUUUUUAUGUUGUACUAAUUUUGUUUACUGUUUGUCAUGGCAGGUGUUGAAAGAUGGUGGGCGCUGGUCGGGAGCGUGGUCUGAGGUCUUCCAUUCCAGACGCACCUCUCCGCCGAGCGUUGCUGGACAGUAUGGCCACACCGCCGGGCCCUUCUUCGUCGACCGCGGUGCCCAGCAGGGGACGAGGUAGGAAGAGAGGAGGUGGGGCACGUGGUCGUGGGAGAGGAGGUAGGGUGACUCCUACGGCGCCUUCCUCGCCGCCACCCCCAGCCGUUUCACCCGAGCACAUGACUGCUAGGGUGGACUCGUCCGAGGAGGAGGCUACACGGACUCCGGUCCACGAGCCUCCGGUCCACGGGUCUUGGGCCCAUGAGCCUCGGGUCGACUGGCCUUCGGCCCACGAGAGUUCGGCCCACGUGACCCCGGAGGAGCACACGUCCGGAUGGGGUACCUGGCCGGAUCAGCCCGAGGAGCCGAGUGGCCAUGCUGAUGAUGGCGGGGAGCCGACUGAUCUUGAGGAGGAGGGGGCAUCGUCUACCAGCGUGGUGCUACACGGCUCCCGUCCGUGCCGGUGACCCGCGAGCAGAGGUGGUUGAUUUUCCCUGAUGGGGAGAGGUACGUAAGUGCAUUUAAUAUUUUUGUACCUUGUGCAUUCACGUUUUUUCAAAUAACUAACGUGUUGGCCUUGUCAUGCUGCAGGGGUUGGGACCACCAUCAUAGUGUCCGCCGGCCCAACUCCGUCCUUGGAGUUCUUUGCCGGCAAAACUUCUCGGGGUUUGUCACGUUGCCUGGUGAGGGUCGGCUUCCAGAGCUUGGAUUGAGCUGGGAGCACUACGUGGCUGCCCCGGCCCCGCCGGAUGAGAUUAUCGACGGUGUCGUGUGCAACACGAGGGCAGACAUGGUGAUCAGAAAGUUCUGGGUAAUUUCUCCUUUACACAUUUAAAAAUAUUCAACUAGCUAGUUAUUAAUUGUACUAAUCAAUAUUGUCUCAUUUGAUUGCAGACAUUCUACAGGUGUGAGGAGGGAUACGAGGAGGACGCGGCACAUGUUAUCGAGAACGUCUGCAAGCGCCUACUCCAAAACUUACGGCACGAGGCUCGGGUGCAGGCUGUUCGAGACUACUACGCCUUGCGUGGUAUCAAGAAGACCAAGCCGGCGUGCCGCGAUAAGUUCCUGAGUAAGGAGCAGUACAUGAAGGUAAUUCUUAAGGCCUUCUCUACUUAAGUUCCUUCAUUUAGUAAUUCUUAGCCGUAGCGCUCAAGUUUCUAUUUGCUAACUUAGGCGCCUCCAAGAUGGUGCGCGGAUCGGAUGGAUUGUUGGGAGGUGUUGGUCGAUGAGUGGUGCUCACAACGAUGGCUAGCCCUCCACAAUGAGGCCAAGGACAAACGUGCCCAAAUGGAAGGUGUGCCACACCAUCAAGGCAGCUCCAACUUAUAUCAGUUCGGGCGCAACUGGGUAUGUGGUUUGCUUCAUGAUUCAUGCAAUUCAUUCAUCAUGCUAGCUUGAGCCCUUUAAUUACUAAUUUUCAUUGUUUCUCUCUUUCAGGCACGCUACAAUAAGGCGGAUAAGGUGCUAGAGGUGUACGACCCUGUAUGCCAUGGCCCACACUACCUCUUUCAAGAAAGUCAAGGCUUUCUCUCAGUCUGACCUCGAUGAUGCAAACAACUUCACCAACAUCUCCUCCCACAACAAGCUUGUGAGAUAUAGAGAUGAGGGGAAGGCGAGGAAAGGGGAGGACUUUAACCCGAGCCAGGGUCCCAUUGAUCCAGAGUUGUUGAUGAUAUCUGGUGGCGGGAGGUCCCAUGGCUCCAUAGCCAUUGGAGAUGGACUUAUCCGUUGUCCUAGCACUCUCCCGGAGAUCAAGGCGCGCCAGUCGAGCUCCGCUCCUGAGAUAAGGCCUCGUGAACGGCCAGUGCAACUCGCCAUCAAGGUUAGUGAUACGUACUCAAUUAUCUUUCUCCAUUACAUUGUGUGCGCUUCCAUCAAUGAUUACAAAUGGUCAUGUGAGUGGUGUUGCAGGCUGCUAUACAGAGUGAGAGAGAUAGAACAGAGAAACUUCUGGCGGAGGUGGCGGAGAGGCAGCGGGAGUUGGAGGAGAGGACGACAAAGAUGAUGGAGGAGGAGAGGGCACGGAAUGACAUGCAGGCAAGGGCCAUGUACGAGCUCCUUGUGGCAAGUUUCUUCUGCAGAUUAGCCAAAACAUUCAUGUAGUGUUUGUCUCAUUACUAACUAGUAUGACCGAGUCGUCAAAACCAAAUGUGCAGUCUGUGUACGAGAAGACAGGUCAGACCGCUCCGCCGAUGCCAGUGAUUGCUCCUGGGACCACGGUGAGUUUUAUUUGAAUGGACAUUACUUGCUAGUCUUAACAUUUGAGUGUCAUCAUGCUAACAAGACAUUGGAAAUGAUCUUUGGUGCAGCGUAACUCCAGACAAGCAUCGCACGAUCCUUCUCCAGCUACCGACACGAGCCACCCCGCUCCUACACCUCCUACAUCUUGGUAAGUUUAUCUAGUGUUUUGCUUAACACAUGCAUAAAGACCUAGACUUAGCUUUAUUUCCUCCAAUGCUUACCAUAAUGACCUAGACUUAGCUUCUUCACCUCCAAAAUGACUUAAUAAGCUUACUGACCUCCAAAACCAUCCAUUUUACCUAAGUUAGCUCUAAAACGAUCUGUACUUAGCUUACUUAUGUCAAAAAUUGCAUAAUUAGCUUAGUUAGCUUAUAGACGAUCCAUUUUACCUAAGUUAGCUCUAAAAUGACCCAUUUUACCUAGGUUAGCUUAUAAAUGAUCCAGUUCAUCCAAGUUAGCUCAAAAAUGACCCAUUUUACCUAGAUUAGCUCCUAAAUGAUCCAUUUUACCUACGUUAGCUUUAAAAUAACCCAUUUCACCUAGGUUAACUCCAAAAUGACCAAUCUUACCUAGGUUAUCUCAUAAACGAUCCAUUUCAACUAAUUUAGCUCAUAAACGAUCCAUUUCACCUAGGUUACCUAAAAAACGAUCCAUUUCACCUAAAUUAGCUCUUAAAUGAUCCAUUUCACCUAAGUUAGCUCAAAAAGAUCCAUUUCAACUAAAUUAGCUCAUAAAUGAUCCAUUUCACCUAAGUUAGCUCAAAAACGAUCCAUUUCAACUAAGUUAGCUCAUAAAUGAUCCAUUUCAUCUAAGUUAGCUAAAAAAGAUCCAUUUCACCUUAGUUACCUGAAAAACGAUCCAUUUGACCUUAGUUAGCUCAUAAACGACCCAUUUCAACGAAGUUAGCUCAUAAAUGAUCCAUUUCACCUUAGCUAGCUCAUAAACGACCCAUUUCAACUUAGUUAGCUCAUAUAUGAUCCAUUUCACGUAAGUUAGCUCAUAAAUGACAUACUCUUCUUGUUCUAGUCUUCUUCUUGUUCUACUCUUCUCGUUCUAGUCUUCUUCUUGUUCUACUCUUCUUCUUGUUCUACUCUUCUUCUUGUUCUACUCUUCUUGUUCUAACUUUCUUAUUUUUCAUUUUUGCAGAGUUCAUUCACUUGACGAAAGCUUGCAUAGAUGGAGUGCUCCUUAUCCCUUUCUCUGUUUCUUUUGUAUCAUUGAACUAUGCAUGUAUCGUUGGAUGAAACUAUUGUAAUAUAUAUGGUUGGAUGCCUCUAUGUUGAACUUGUUAUGUAUGAUGGAACUAUGCAUGUAAUAUAUAUGGUUGGAUGAUGAAGUUAUGUGUUGGAUAUCUUAUAUGUUUGCUCUGUAAUGGCCUUUUGAAAUAUAUCUAUAUAUGUCAUCUAUAUUUGUGAUGAAAAUUGUUGGAUUUAAUAAAAAACAGAUAAAAGAGCCAAUAUGCAGGCUCUUUGCCGUCUGACACCGACGGCAACGGGCUCUUUGCCGUCUGCUGCGGACGGCAAAGAAGGCACGUGGCAUCCAGCUGUGCUUCCUGGGAGCUGACCCGUUUGGUCAGUUUGCCUACAGUGGCAGACGGCAAAGCCUUUGCCAUCAGUGGCAGACGGCAAAGAACCUGCCAUGUAGUGACGUGUAGAUGACAUCAUACGGCGGACGGCAAAGACACUAGAAAGUUUGCCGUUAGCGGCGGACGGCAAAGGCCUGCCGUUAGCCACUUAACGGACUGACAGCGCAAUUAUUGCCGUCCGCCUUCUUUGCCGUCUGCCGCGCUCUCUUUGCCGUCUGCGACGGACGGCAAAGACUUUGCCAUCAGUAGCAGACGGCAAAGUAGCUGUUUACCGAAGCCUACUUUGCCGGAGCCUUUUGCCGUCCGCGGCUGACGGCAAAGGCCUUUGCCGUCCGCCGUUCAUGCCUUUGCCGUCCGCCGCGGCAGACGGCAAAGUAGCUGAUUCCUGUACUGGGAGAUGCCCAUCAAUAGAUAUCAAUGUGAGUGAGUAGGGAUUGCCAUGCAACGGAUGCAAUAGAGCGAUAAGUAUAUGAAAGCUCAACAAAAGAAACUAAGUGGGUGUGCAUCCAACUUGCUUGCUCAUGAAGACCUAGGGAAUUUUGAGGAAGCCCAUCAUUGGAAUAUACAAGCCAAGUUCUAUAAUGAAAAAUUCCCACUAGUAUUUGAAAGUGAUAACAUAGGAGACUCUCUAUCAUGAAUAUCAUGGUGCUACUUUGAAGCACAAGUAUGGUAAAAAGGAUAGUAACAUUGUCCCUUCUCUCUUUUUCUCUCUUUUUUUAUUUGGGCCUUUCUCUUUUUUUAUGGCCUCUUUCCCCCUUUUUUUCGUCCGGAGUCUCAUCCCGACUUGUGGGAGAAUCAUAGUAUCCAUCAUCCUUUCCUCACUCUAAUAAUGAUGAUCAUCACACUUUUAUUUUUCUUACAACUAAACAAUUACAACUCGAUACUUAGAACAAAAUAUGACUCUAUAUGAAUGCCUCUGGUGGUGUACCGGGAUUGCAAUGAAUCAAGAGUGACACAUAUGAAAGAAUUAUGAAUGGUGGCUUUGCCGCAAAUACGAUGUCAACUACAUGAUCAUGCUAAGCAAUAUGACAAUGAUGGAGUGUGUCAUAAUAAAUGGAACGGUGGAAAGUUGCAUGACAAUAUAUCUCGAAAUGGCUAUGGAAAUGCCAUAAUAGGUAGGUAUGGUGGCUGUUUUGAGGAAGGUAUAUGGUGGGUGUAUGAUACCGGCGAAAGGUGCGCGGUAUUAAAGAGGCUAGCAAAGGUGGAAGGGUGAGAAAAGUGCGUAUAAUCCAUGGACUCAACAUUAGUCAUAAAGAACUCAUAUACUUAUUGCAAAAAUCCACAAGUUAUCAAAGCAAAGUAUUACACGCAUGCUACUAGGGGGAUAGAUUGGUAGGAAAAGACCAUCGCUCGUCCCCGACCGCCACUCAUAAGGAAGACAAUCAAAAAAUAAAUCAUGCUCCGACUUCAUCACAUAACGGUUCACCAUACGUGCAUGCUUACGGGAAUCACAAACCUUAACACAAGUAUUUCUCAAAUUCACAACUACUCAACUAGCAUAACUUUAAUAUCACCAUCUUCAUAUCUCAAAACAAUUAUCAAGCAUCAAACUUCUCAUAACAUUCAACACACUCAUAAGAAAGUUUUUACUAUUCUUGAAUACCAAGCAUAUUGGGACUAUUUAAGAAAAUUACCAUGCUAUUUAAGACUCUCAAAAUAAUCUAAGUGAAGCAUGAGAGAUCAAUAGUUUCUAUAAAACAAAUCCACCAUCGUGCUCUAAAAGAUAUAAGUGAAGUACUAGAGCAAAAUUAUAUAACUCAAAUGAUAUAAGUGAAGCACAUAGAGUAUUCUAACAAAUUCCGAAUCAUGUAUGGCUCUCUCAAAAGGUGUGUACAGCAAGGAUGAUUGUGAUAAACUAAAAAAUAAAGACUCAAAUCAUACAAGACGCUCCAAGCAAAACACAUAUCAUGUGGUGAAUAAAAAUAUAGCUCCAAGUAAAGUUACCGAUAGAAGUAGACGAAAAGAGGGGAUGCCUUUCGGGGCAUCCCCAAGCUUUGGCUUUUAGGUGUCCUUAGAUUAUCUUGGGGGUGCCAUGGGCAUCCCCAAGCUUAGUCUCUUGCCACUCCUUGUUCCAUAAUCCAUCAAAUCAUUACCCAAAAACUUGAAAAUUUCACAACACAAAACUUAAAGUAGAAAAUCUCGUGAGCUCCGUUAGCGAAAGAAAACAAAAGACCACUUCAAGGUACUGUAAUGAACUCAUUCUUUAUUUAUAUUGGUGUUAAACCUACUGUAUUCCAACUCCUCUAUGGUUUAUAAACUAUUUUACUAGCCAUAGAUUCAUCAAAAUAAGCAAACAACACACGAAAAACAGAAUCUGUCAAAAGCAGAACAGUCUGCAGUAAUCUGUAGCUAGCGCAAGAUCUGGAACCCCAAAAAUUCUAAAAUAAAUUGCUAGACGUGAGGAAUUUAUCUAUUAAUCAUCUGAAAAAAUAAUUAACUAAAUAGAACUUUCCAAAUAAAAAUUGCAGCAGUUCUUGUGAGCGCCAAAGUUUCUGUUUUUUACAGCAAGAUUAACAAGACUUUCCCCAAGUCUUCCCAACGGUUCUACUUGGAACAAACACUAAUUAAACACAAAAAAUACAACCAAAACAUAGGCUAGAUAAAUUAUUUAUUACUAAACAGGACAAAAAAUCAAGUAAUAAAAAUAAAAUUGGUUUGCCUCCCAAGAAGUGCUAUCGUUUAACGCCCCUAGCUAGGCAUAAAAAGCAAGGAUAGAUCUAGGUAUUGCCAUCUUUGGUAGGCAAUCCCUAAGUGGCUCUCAUAAUAGAUUCAUAAGGUAAUUUAAUUUUCUUUCUAGGAAAGUGUUCCAUGCCUUUCCUUAACGAAAAUUGGAAUCUAAUAUUUCCUUCCGUCAUAUCAAUAAUUGCACCAAUCGUUCUAAGGAAAGGUCUACCAAGAAUAAUAGGACAUGAAGGAUUGCAAUCUAUGUCAAGAACAAUAAAAUCUACGGGCACAUAAUUCCUUGCAACAAUAAGAACAUCAUUAAUUCUUCCCAUAGGUUUCUUAAUAGUGGAAUCUGCGAGGUGCAAGUUUAGAGAGCAAUCAUCAAAAUCACGGAAACCUAACAAAUCACACAAAGUCUUUGCAAUCGUGGAAACACUAGCACCCAAAUCACAUAAAGCAUAGCAUUCAUGAUCUUUAAUUUUAAUUUUAAUUUUAAUAGUUGGUUCCCACUCAUCAUAAAGUUUUCUAGGGAUAGAGACUUCUAAUUCAAGUUUUUCUUCAUAAGAUUGCAUCAAGGCAUUAACGAUAUGUUUAGUGAAUGCUUUAUUUUGACUAUAAGCAUGAGGAGAAUUUAGCACAGAUUGCAACAAGGAAAUGCAAUCAAUCAAAGAGCAAUUUUCAUAAUUAAAUUCCUUGAAAUCCAAAAUAGUGGGUUUAGCAACAUCUAGGGUUUUAAUUUCUUCAAUCCCACUUUCAUCAAUUUUAGCGCCGAGAUCUAAAAACUCCGAAUUCUUGGAACGUCUUCUAGGUAAAGGUGGAUCAUAAUCAGUCCCAUCAUUAUUAAGAUUCAUAUUGCAAAACAAAGAUUUAAUAGGGGACACAUCAAUAACUUUUAGAUCUUCAUCUUUAUUUUCAUAGGAACUAGAAGAACACGCUCUUAUAAAGGCAUCUUUCUUAGCACGCAUCCUAGCGGUUCUUUCUUUGCACUCAUCAAUGGAAAUUCUCAUGGCUUUGAGAGACUCAUUGAUAUCAUGCUUAGGUGGAAUAGAUCUAAGUUUCAAAGAAUCAACAUCAAGAGAAAUUCUAUCAACGUUCCUAACCAACUCAUCAAUCUUAAGCAAUUUUUCUUCAAUCAAAGCAUUGAAAUUCUUUUCCGAAGUAAUAAAUUAUUUAAUAUUAGAUUCAAAAUCAGAGGGCAUCUUAUUAUAAUUUACAUAAGAAUUGUUGUAGGAAUUACCAUAAUUAUUAGAGGGAUUACUAGGAUAAGGCCUAGGAUUGAAAUUUCCUCUAUACGCGUUGUUACCAAAAUUGUUCCUACCAACAAAAUUCACAUCCAUAGAUUCAUUAUUAUUCUCAACCAAAGUAGACAAGGGCAUAUCAUUAGGAUCGAAAGAAACACUCUUACUAGCAAAAAAUUCAUAAGUUCAUCCAUCUUUCCACUCAAAACAUUAAUUUCUUCUAUCGCAUGCACCUUUUUAUUAGUAGAUCUUUCAGUAUGCCAUUGAGAAUAAUUAACCAUAAUAUUAUCUAGGAGUUUAGUAGCUUCUCCUAAAGUGAUUUCCAUAAAAGUGCCUCUCGCGGCCGAAUCUAACAGAUUUCUAGAAGCAAAAUUCAAUCUGGCAUAAAAUUUUGUAUAAUCAUCCACAAAUUCAAACCAUGAGUAGGGCAAUUACGUAUCAUUAAUUUUAUCCUUUCCCAAGCUUGUGCAACAUGUUCAUGAUCAAGUUGCUUAAAAUUCAUAAUAUCGUUUCUAAGGGAGAUGAUCUUAGCGGGAGGAAAAUACUUAGAGAUAAAAGCAUCUUUGCACUUAUUCCAUGAAUCAAUACUAUUUUUAGGCAAAGAUGAAAACCAAGCUUUAGCACGAUCUCUAAGCAAAAAAGGAAAUAGCUUCAAUUUAACAAUAUCGUUAUCCACAUAUUUCUUCUUUUGCAUAUCACACAAAUCAACGAAGCUAUUUAGAUGGGUAGCAGCAUCUUCACUAGGAAGGCUGGAAAAUGGAUCUUUCAUGACAAGAUUCAGCAAAGCAGUAUUAAUUUCACAAGAUUCAGCAUCGGUAAGAGGAGCAAUCGGAGUGCUAAUAAAAUCAUUGUUGUUGGUAUUGGUAAAGUCACACAAUUUAGUAUUAUCUUGAGCCAUCGUGACAAGCAAGCAAACUAGCACACAAGCAAACAAAAAGCAAGCGGGCAAAAAGAGGCAAAUAGUGAAAGAGAGGGAGGAUAGAGAGAGAGAGAGGGCGAAUAAAACGACAAGGGUGAAGUGGGGGAGAGGAAAACGAGAGGCAAAUGGCAAAUAAUGUAAUGCGGGAGAUAGGGAUUGUGAUGGGUACUUGGUAUAUUGACUUCUGCGUAGACUACCCGGCAACGGCGCCAGAAAUCCUUCUUGCUACCUCUUGAGCACUACGUUGGUUUUCCCCGAAGAGGAAGGGAUGAUGCAGCAAAGUAGCGUAAGUAUUUCCCUCAGUUUUUGAGAACCAAGGUAUCAAUCCAGUAGGAGGCUACGCGUGAGUCCCUCGUACCCGCACAAAACAAAUAAAUCCUCGCAACCAACGUGAUAAGGGGUAGUCAAUCCCUACACGGCCACUUACGAGAGUGAGAUCUGAUAGAUAUGAUAAGAUAAUAUUUUUGGUAUUUUUAUGAUAAAGAUGCAAAGUAAAAUAAAAGCAAAGUAGAAAGCAAAGGAAAUAACUAAGUAUUGGAAGAUUAAUAUGAUGAAGAUAGACCCGGGGGCCAUAGGUUUCACUAGUGGCUUCUCUCAAGAGCAUAAGUAUUCUACGGUGGGUGAACGAAUUACUGUUGAGCAAUUGACAGAAUUGAGCAUAGUUAUGAGAAUAUCUAGGUAUGAUCAUGUAUAUAGGCAUCACGUCCGAGACAAGUAGACCGACUCCUGCCUGCAUCUACUACUAUUACUCCACUCAUCGACCGCUAUCCAACAUGCAUCUAGAGUAUUAAGUUAAUGAAAACAGAGCAACGCCUUAAGCAAGAUGACAUGAUGUAGAGGGAUAAACUCAUGCAAUAUGAUGAAAACCCCAUCUUGUUAUCCUCGAUGGCAACAAUACAAUACGUGCCUUGCUGCCCCUAAUGUCACUGGGAAAGGACACCGCAAGAUUGAACCCAAAGCUAAGCACUUCUCCCAUUGCAAGAAAGAUCAAUCUAGUAGGCCAAACCAAACUGAUAAUUCGAAGAGACUUGCAAAUAUAACCAAUCAUACAUAAAAGAAUCCAGAGAAGAUUCAAAUAUUAUUCAUGGAUAGACUUGAUCAUAAACCCACAAUUCAUCGGUCUCAACAAACACACCGCAAAAAGAAGAUUACAUCGAAUAGAUCUCCACAAGAGAGGGGGAGAACAUUGUAUUGAGAUCCAAAAAGAGGGAAGAAGCCAUCUAGCUAAUAAAUAUGGACCCGUAGGUCUGAGGUGAACUACUCACACUUCAUCGGAGGGGCUAUGGUGAUGAUGUAGAAGCCCUCCAUGAUCGAUGCCCCCUCCGGCGGAGCUCCGGAACAGGCCCCAAGAUGGGAUCUCGUGGAUACAGAAAGUUGCGGCGGUGGAAUUUGGGUUUCGGCUCCGUAUGUGAUCGUUUGGGGGUACGUAGGUAUAUAUAGGAGGAAGGAGUACGUCGGUGGAGCAACAGGGGGCCCACGAGGAUGGAGGGUCCGCCUGGGGGGUAGGCGCGCCCCCUACCUCGUGGCCUCCUCUCUUGUGUCUUGACGUAGGGUCCAAGUCUCCUGGGUCUUGUUCGUUGGGAAAAUCACGUUCCCGAAGGUUUCAUUCCGUUUGGACUCCGUUUGAUAUUCCUUUUCUUCGAAACCCUAAAAUAGGCAAAAAAACAGCAAUUCUGGGUUGAGCCUCUGGUUAAUAGGUUAGUCCCAAAAAUAAUAUAAAAGUGGAUAACAAAACCCAAUAAUGUCCAAAAUAGUAGAUAGUAUAGCAUGGAGCAAUCAAAAAUUAUAGAUACGUUGGAGACGUAUCAGGCUGCCACGCACACGAGGCAGACAACUGGACGCUGGAUAUGGCGCCCUAGCCAAGGGCCACAGCCUGGAGGGCGCGCGCGUGUGUCACAUCAGGCAACAGUAGGAGGCUAAUGGAUGAUGAGGAAUGGUGGGGUUGGAGGAGAGGCGGGAGUAAGGGAGAGAGGGAGCAGCAGAGGAGCCCCACCGCCGCCGUCCGCCGAGAUCAGCAUCCUCCAGCGGUGGCGGGGGGUUUGGUGGCUUGGCUGGGGGACUUUUGGUGGCGGCGGCUAUGCCUCUGGAGUCGCCCGAGAGUGACCCAGGAGGCUCGCUCGGGAUUGAACAGAAAUGAAUGAGUAUUUUCCCUAGUUAUGAAACCAAGUUCAUCAAUCCAGUAGGAGAACCAAGCAACACUAUAUAAACGGUACAUGCACACAAAGAACAAAUACUUGCAACCCAACGCGUAAGAGGGGUUGUCAAUCCCUCCUCGGUAUUGAGAUAGAUUAAAUUGUAUGAGAUUGGAUUGAUAGAUCUAGCGAAAAUGCGAAAUAAAAUAAAUAAAGAAAAAGUGUAGCAAGGUAUUUUUGGGUUUUUGGAUAAAUAGCUUUGAAAACAAUAAGAUACUCCCUUCAUAAACUAAUAUAAGAGCGUUUAGAUCACUACUUUAGUGAUCUAAACAGUCUUAUAUUAGUUUACAGAGGGAGUAGAAAAUAGACCCGGGGGCCCUAGAUUUCACUAGUGGCUUCUCUCGAGAAAAUAGCAUAUGGUGGGUAAACAAAUUACUGUUAGGCAAUUGAUAGAAGAGCAAAUAAUUAUGACGAUAUCCAAGGCAAUGAUUGUAGGAGAUAUGCCCUAGAGGCAAUAAUAAAUGUUAUUGAUUAUCUCCAUGUUCAUAAUUAGGUUUAUGUUCCAUGCUAUAACUGCUAUGGUUCCCGAGUCUGCAAAUAAAAAGAGGCUCGGAGGAAGACUCAUAAGCAUGUGUGGAAUAAUAAACGAUAAAAUGUAUUCCUAGGCUGGCCUCUAAGACUAGCUCAAGUGUUGCAUGAUGGUUCUGUUUUCCUGAUCAUGGGCAUGUCUAUGCCAACAAUUUUGAGGGCACAAUGUUAGCAGAACAUUUGUGUUGAAUCGACCCGAUUGAUGUUAUGCUAUGAGAUACAUUCGUCAUAAGUUAAUGGUUAAUAACGUAGAGAUGGUUAACGUUUGCAUGAUUCCUCAGACCAUGAGAGUAUCGAGUUCCUUCAUGCUUGGUUCAUGAACUUUGGGGUUUGUUAAACGUCAUCCGUAACUGGAUGGCUAUUACGGCGGCUUACGGGUUCAUGGGAAAGUAUGUCAAGUAACUUAAUAGCUCGAGAUUUGGAUUUGCUCCUCCGACAAUGGAGGGAUAUCUCUGGGCUCUCUCGGUGUUACGGUAUCCAUCAUUGUCUGGCCAGACACAGUGUGAUUUGAUCACUGGGAUGCCGGAACACGGAAACGAGUAAAGAGAACAAAACCGGUAACGAGGUAACUUGCAUGCUGGACAAAUGGUUCGUCCACGGGGAUGCAACAAAUCUCACCUCGGGUGUUUGUGACAUAUCGCGAAGCAACAGGAAUAGCUCACUACAACUGGAGGUUCACUCGAAUAUUUAUUCGUGUGGGUAUAGGGGUCAAUAUGGGUGUCCACGGCUCCGAUGUUGAUCAUUGAUCGGAAGGGGUUCCGGGUCAUGUCUAUACUUCACCGAACCUAUAGGGUCACACGCUUAAGGGUCAUCUAUCUGCUGAAUACUAGACAAGGAGUCUGAGAGAAAAUCACCGAAAAAGUUUCGGACACCGGAAAAGUUUCGGACAUCGAAAAAGGUUCCGCAGAGAGAGGUCAUCGGAUGAGUUUCGAUGAAACUGAAAAGUUGUUUCAGGGGAUACCAUUAAGUCAAAUUGGUUUCGGCACAUGCCUGAUAAUUCUUGGAGAGUGCCAGAAUCAUUCUGGAAGCUUUCUGGAAUUUUCCGGGAUAAUAACCGGAUAUGCUCCGGAGCUGCCGGAACCACUUCAGAUGCUUUUCGCAGAUGAAAAUCACUAAAUCGGAAUUGUUUCGGAAUGCGUUGAAAAUCAUUUUGGUGGGUACUGGAAAUGUUCUAAGCCCACAUAAAUAUUUUCAGUUCAAACGGACGCUGAAAAAUGUCGUCGUGAAUAGUGAAAAUCAGCUUUAUGGUUACUUUAUGGAAAGCCACCUUUUGGGGCUUUGCUCCAAAAGAUCUUGGGGAUGAUAUGGAUGGAUAGGAGCCAUUUUUUGGGCCCCUCAUGGGGGUGUGGCCGGCCACAUGGGGUAUCCCCCCUUGGGGACCCUCUUGUUCCUUGGUUUCACUCCUAGGUCCUUGUGGAAGGACUUCAUUCAUGUGCAUUUUGGGUGUUUGUGUGAAACUACCCUACCCCUUGGGAUUUCCUAUAAAUAGAGGUGGAGGGGCAACCCUCCACACUCAUCCCUUCUCACAUACAAGUGCCAUGCAAUGAUCUGGCUUCUUUUCUCCCUCCCAUGAAAAGAGUUUCGUAGAGCCGUAAGGUUGUCUGGGUUCCGGCAGGAACUAGUUCUGGACGGCGAAGCCCUGCCGGAUAGAUGACACCGUAUGUGUGCAACUCUGUAGAGAGGUCGUAGUUUCGAUCUUAGUGUCCGAGGGGCUGUUCGAGAAUGCCUCCCGAAGGGCUGUCCAAGUGACGGUCCGAGUUCUGUGAGUCCUCUCGAAGGGCUGUCCGAGUGACCGUCCGAGUUUCGAAGGUCCUCCCGAAGGGCUGUCCGCAACACCGUCCGGGGGACUGUUCGACCGCCUCCCGGAGGGCUGUCUGAGGAGCAGAUGAGGGUAUACAUCCUUGCGGUUGGGAGGUUGUAAAUCCUAGCUGCGGGGAUCUGCACCGUCGAUCGUCAUCGACUCUACUUCCCGCUGCGCUACGAGUCGGUAACGAAACAGAUCAAACCUUGUAUGCAGUCUCCAUAGUGGUCCUGGGCUGGUGCGUAGGUCGGAAAUUUUUUGUUUUCUGCUGCGUUACCCUACAGUGGCAUCAAGAGACGUGCUAUGCGUAGAUGCAGGUUUCGAUCUAGAAUACAUGGAGAUGUAUGGGUAUUGCAUAAUAUAGUUAGGUAGUAGAUGAGAUCUAUUGCUGAAAAUUAUUUAUGCGGGUGACAGAUGAAAUCUGUUACCCGACGUUCUUGUUGCUUCCCUAGAAUUUGCGUUUGCUCAAUCUCGAGAUAGCAUGCUGGAAUUUAACAAAGUUCUGGCAAUCCGUGAUCCUGAUUGAUCAUGGAAGUGCUAUCAGUUCUUUGGGUUCUGCCGUAGUCAAAAGAAAGAUGAAAUUCGCAGAUGAAAGGGCAUUGCAGAUAUGAUCUCCACGGUGGUCAUGCGUAUGACGAAGUUUAGUAUGGGGCUUGACAUUUAAUUAUCUUGUGUUUCAUACACCCUGAGAUGUUAAUCUAGCAACUUGAAUAAUCAUACUUGAUGAUAAAACGUUGGUAGCUGCGGUUUAAGUCAAAACCUUAGAAGUCACGUAAAAUAAAUUUUUGCAUAAACCGAUUAGAGGCGUCUAACUUGGUUUUGCAGGAUGUGCAUGUGAUGUGGUAUAGCAAUGCCCAUAUUCAAUUUGAUUAUGUAUGAGAUGACUAUAUGAUGUAAUUAACAUGACCUGUGUGUCAUGAUUCGGCAUGAUGGCUGGAGCCAUAUGAUUGUCACUUUAAAUGACCUGCGUGUCAACCUUGUUGCAAUGCAUUAUUUUAUUAGCUAUAGAGAUAGCAAUAUUAUCUGGUGCAUCGACAAGGUGGUGACAAUCUUCGCGAAGGUGAACACCGACGCGAGUGCCGAAGACGAAGAAAUGAAAGACUUCUCCGUCAGAAAGGGCUAUACCAUAUCAUGCUAAUUAUGAAUUGCCUGAGAUGUUUAUCCCUUUGAUGCACCCUUCUUGAUUGCGCCGUAGUCGCUUUUUAUUAGGGUGAUCUCUCACAAAAAUAUCAAGUAGUUAGUGUUCUCCCAAGUGUAGCACCGUCACGGCACCUAUCUUUUCGGGGUGCGCCGUGUCACACGGGUACGAACGAUUAGAGAAGUGUGAGGCGGGUGAGUUGAGACCUCGCAGCGAGAUCACUUGGUUGUCUUGACGUUCAGGCAUGACCGUCAUGAGCUCCGAACACAUGCAUCGAAAGAUGAACAAGAGUCACAUAGAGAUGUGAUUGGCAAGUUGGCCUACCGGUUGAGAUUUUCGUCAUCAGUGCUGUUACACCAAUGGCGUUGAAUUAAAAUGCGGAUCUUGAAUCACUCACGAUCAAUUAUGAGAGAUAUUGAUUUGAGUGGGAGCGCACUGUUGAAUUAACUUGUUUAAUUCUUAGUGCAAUUAAUUGUGAACAUUGUCUAAAGUGUUAUUUGCCUAAUAGUUAUAGAAUAAUGGCUCGCGUUUCCACCCUCCCUAUUAAAAUUGAAUAGCUGUUAAAUAUCUGGUUAAAACUUUACGGUUGGUAACGUAAUGUGAGGAUUGUCCUCAAGAGUGCCGAGAAGGACUUUGUCCUAUCGCAUACUUUCGGUAUUCUCCCGCUAAUGCUAUGGAUCAUGUGACUCUCGUCCUUCGAUCCAAAAGCUAGAAUUCCGUUUUCAGUCAAGUGCAAUAUGUUUGCUUCCAUGAAACCCAAACUUCGAAAGUUGGGAUAGUUAUAUGAUAUUCAUGGAACUGAAAAUUAUUUUCAGAUACAAACAAAGCAAUGUUUGUUUGCAAGUAUUAGUAAAAGUGUUUACUAUGCAUUUGACUGUUGGGAAAGGGAUCCAGAAGAAUGCCUGUCAUAUAAUGAAAGGUGAAUAAAACAACAACUUAAAGAGAAAGGAAGUGUCCAAAGGGUGUUAGUAUGACUUACACGCCUAGGAAGUCCGAGGCUAACGCCACUCUUAAGUUGGGUGCUUCUUUUGCGAGUAGGAGAAAUACUAAAAGUUAAACGGUUAGAAGUAUAAAGGCAGAAAGAAAGAUGACUGGAAUAUCCAGCUCAUGUAUGAAUGUCAUACAAGUUUUUGAUGUAUAGUAGGCUGGUCAAAGAUAUAGUUCUUGGGAAUUAUGGUUAAACAUGUUAAUCACUAAUUCUUGGGUAUUGUGAGUUAAUCACAAAGACACCUGAUCGAUUGCAUUCUGUUACGAAUCAAUGUAAGAGCUACUAUGGCCUAAAAAGACUAGCCAGAAAUGAGGUUAAGGUAUACACAGGGAACAUAGUAAAUGUUACUAUACCUUCCAUCGGUGUAUUGCCGUCUGUAUUUAUUUUCAUAAUUCAUUUAGAGUUUUACAAACUCUAGCCCAUUGCAUAAAGUAUCUUGCAAGAAGGUUGUUCAUAAGAGAACUUUUUAUGUUCGAUGUUAUGAAUAACACAAGGGCCAUACUUUCAUUAUGAAUGAGAUGUAUGUUAUGAAUAUUGAUAAUAAUACAAUACCUCUAGAUUUACUUUCAUAAUUCAUUUUAGAGUUUCAUACACUCUAGCCCAUUGCACAAUGUUUGUUGCAAAAGAGUUGUUCAUAAAAACAAAAAUUGUUGUUAAGUAUUAUGAAUAACAUGAAGGGCCAUGCUUCCAUCCAAGAUGGUAUGUAUGUUAUGAAUAUUGAUGGUAAUAUGAUACAUCCGUAACACUGACGCUAAAUGUCGCAAGACUAAAAGAAUACCCCACAAGUGUGGCACUACAUUUGGUCACAUUGGAGAAACCCGCAUGGAAAAUUCCAUUAUGAUGGAUUUUGAUGUCUUUUUGAUUUUGAAUCAUCUAACACUUGCAACUUUCCUCCGAAAAGUGAAGUGAUUGAAAUACCAUUCACAGGCCAUAAGGAAUGAGCAACAAACUUAUUGGUGAUCAUACAUUUUGAUGUGUGUAGUUCAAUAAAUGUUGUUGCAAGUAGUGGAUUUAUAUAUCUUCAGAAAUGACUCAAGUAGAUAUAUGGAUAUUUUCUUGAUGAGACGUAAGUUUGGAUCUUUUGAAAUCAUUCGAAAGGUUUUCAAAAAUGAAGUAGAAGUUAUUGUAAUAAGGAAAUUAUGUUUCUACAAUUUGAUUGUAGAAAGGAAUAUCUGAGUUACAAGUUUAGCGAAUGUCUGAUGAGUUGUGAAAAGAGUUUCAUAACUUACACCUUCCGGAACACCACUAUGAGUGGAAUGUCUGUGAAGAUGUAAUCAAACCAUUUAUGACAUGGUAAGGUCAAAGAUGACAUAAAUAAAUUUGCCAUUAUCCCUUUUAAAGUGAUGCUUUAGAGACUGCGGCUUUUACACUGAAAAGAGCUCCAUCGGGUCUGUUGAAAUGACACCAUGGUAUGGUACGCCCAACCAUGUUAUAUCUUUUCUUAACAUUUGGAAUAUGGGGUUUGUGUAAAGGUUACAAACCUAUUCCAAAUCAGACAAGUGCUACUUUGUAGGUUAUCCCAAGCAAUUGGGUAUUCCUCCCUCACUAAACCGAGGCAAAUAGUUUUGCCACGAAACGGUAUGCUUUUAAAGAGAAUGGUUCUUUCAAAAAGGGUGAGUGGGAGGACAGUGCAAACUCGACGAGAUAACAGUAUCUUCGUCAUCAGGUCAAAGGAAAGGAACCUUGGAAGUAAUUCCAGCGUUUCCUACUUCGACUGAUACGGAAGUCUCUACAAUAAAAUGUAUGGACUUCGGUCAAACUUGCAGCUGAACCACGUAGGCAAAGCUCGUGCAAACCUCUCAGGUGUGCAAACGAGAUAUUGUUGUUAGACAACAAUAUACCUACGAUACAUAAGGAAGCGUUGAUGGGCCCUGACUCCGGAAUUGGCUAAAUGCCAAUACAACCCGAGUUAGUUUCCAUAUAAGUGAUUCAAGAUUAAAACCUUGAUACACCUUUCGGAAGACUUAGAGUCUAUCAAAUAUUUAUGGAACUUAAAACUGAUAACGGAUAAAAAAAAUUUAUCCAUAAAGCUCGACUUGUUGCAAUAACAAGUUCAAGGAGUUGACUACAAUGAGAUUGUAUCACCGUAGAGAUGCUUAAAGUCGGUUCGGGUUGAACUAGCAAUUAAUACAUAUUUCAAUCUUGAGAUAUGAUACAUGGAUAACAAAAGGAUUUCCAUCUGAUGGAAAUGAAACCUAGGACUUGUAUGUGAUACAGUCCAAAGUAAUUUGUCGAUCCAAAGGAUGCUAGUAGGUAUGCAAACUUCAGAGUUCCAGCGAUGGACAGAAGAGAGCAAAAUGGAGUUGGAAUCUUCGUGUUUUGAUGAAAUGGUCAAAAGGGGUUUUGACUUCAUCAAUGGGUAAUGAAGAUGCUUGUAAUUCAAUAAAGUAAGUGGGAGCACAAUAAUAUUUCUAAAAACCUUGUGUGCUUGACACAUUGGUAAUUGGAAAUAAAUUCCUUGACACAAAUUAGGACUUCAUUUGAAAAUAGUUUUUCGAUGAAGUGCUUAGGCUAAAUAGCCUCAAUAUUAGGCAUGAUGAUCUAUGGAGAUAGAUUUACCUAAUGGGGCUAAGCAAUGAAUACAUAUUGACAAGAUGCUAAAACCUUUUAGUAUUUAAAACGCCAAGGAGUGAUUCUUGCCGAAGUCACAUGGAAAGAGUUUUUACAAGACUCGGUGUCCCAAAACACUGAUGAGUAAAAUACAUGAUGGAGAUUCCACACACCUUCGUGUUUUGGAUUAAUCAUGUAUUCCAUGGUAUGUAAAACAACCAGAUAUGUCCGAUACUCCAAAGGUGUUGUGAGUAUAGAUACCAAAGUGGUCAAAAGUACUGAUCAUAGGACAAAAGUGAAAGAUGUCAUUUAGUACCAGAGUAGUACUGGUGACAUGUUUUCUCGCAAGCAGAGAUUAUGAAAGUGCUCGUUGUAAGUAAUUACAUCAAUACAGUCUUCAUCAAUGCUCCAUGUGAUUUUCAAUUUAAAUUAAGGGUUUUUGUGUGAUACACAAUAUGGUGGCACGGUAGUUUGAAAUUGUUCCAAAUAAUAUACGGUGGCAAUUUCUAUAACAAGGGCUAAGUAUGUUGACGCUUUAGAAGCGACAAACAAGAUGUUGAAUAAUAUAGUUCAUUCAUAAACUUAGUAUGGUUCCAAGAUGGCUUUUGUCAAUGGGACACUACUGCAGGUAGUUGCUCCAUAACUCAGUCUGAGGAAUCCAGGUUCGACCUGUGAUUCACAUACAUACAAAGCCAAGUCCACACAAAAUAUGAAUUUUGUGAAAGCGUGAAAACGCUAGGAUUUGCAAAGAUACACAUGGAGCUGAAGUCGUCAGAUCCGUUGGACAUCAGGCUAUACCACAAGCGAAGCAUAUUUACACCAGUGUGCCACAGGUGUAAAGUGCAUUAGCAUUAACAAGAUUAUUGACUCUAGUGCAAGUGGGAGUCUGUAGGAGAUAUGCCCUAGAGGCAAUAAUAAAUGUUAUUGAUUAUCUCCCUGUUCAUAAUUAGGUUUAUGUUCCAUGCUAUAACUGCUAUGGUUCCCGAGUCUGCAAAUAAAACGAGGCUCGGAGGAAGACUCAUAUGAACGUGUGGAAUAAUAAACGAUAAAAUGUAUUCCUAGUCUGGCCUCUAAGACUAGCUCAAGUGUUGCAUGAUGGUUCUGUUUUCCUGAUCAUGGGCAUGUCAAUGCCAACAAUUUUGAGGGCACAAUGUUAGCAGAACAUUUGUGUUGAAUCGACCCGAUUAAUGUUAUGCUAUGAGAUACAUUCGUCAUAAGUUAAUGGUUAGUAACACAGAGAUGGUUAAGGUUUGCAUGAUUCCUCAGACCAUGAGAGUAUCGAGUUCCUUCAUGCUUGGUUCAUGAACUUUGGGGUUUGUUAAACGUCAUCCAUAACUGGAUGGCUAUUACGGCGGCUUACGGGUUCAUGGGAAAGUAUGUCAAGUAACUUAAUAGCUCGAGAUUGGGAUUUGCUCCUCCGACGAUGGAGAGAUAUCUCUGGGCCCUCUUGGUGUUAUGGUAUCCAUCAUUGUCUGGCCAGACACAGUGUGAUUUGAUCACUGGGAUGCCGGAACACGGAAACGAGAAAAGAGAACAAAACCGGUAACGAGGUAACUUGCAUGGUGGACAAAUGGUUCGUCCACGGGGAUGCAACAAAUCUCACCUCGGGUGUUUGUGACAUAUCGCGAAGCAACAGGAAUAGCUCACUACAACUGGAGGUUCACUCGAAUAUUUAUUCGUGUGGGUAUAGGGGUCAAUAUGGGUGUCCACGGCUCCGAUGUUGAUCAUUGAUCGGAAGGGGUUCCGGGUCAUGUCUAUACUUCACCGAACCUAUAGGGUAACAUGCUUAAGGGUCAUCUAUCUGCUGAAUACUAGACAAGGAGUCUGAGAGAAAAUCACCGAAAAAGUUUCGGACACCGGAAAAGUUUCGGACAGCGGAAAAGGUUCCGCAGAGAGAGGUCAUCGGAUGAGUUUCGAUGAAACUGAAAAGUUGUUUCAGGGGAUACCAUUACGUCAAAUUGGUUUCAGCACAUGCCUGAUAAUUCUUGAAGGGUGCCAGAAUCAUUCUGGAAGCUUUCUGGAAUUUUCCGGGAUAAUAACCGGAUAUGCUCCGGAGCUGCCGGAACCACUUCAGAUGCUUUUCGCAGAUGAAAAUCACUAAACCGGAAUUGUUUCGGAAUGCGUUGAAAAUCACUUUGGUGGGUAUUGGAAAUGUUCUAGGCCCACAUAAAUAUUUUCAGUUCGAACGGACGCUGAAAAAUGUCGUCGUGAAUAGUGAAAAUCAGCUUUAUGGUUACUUUAUGGAAAUCCACCUUUUGGGGCUUUGCUCCAAAAGAUCUUGGGGAUGACAUGGAUGAAUAGGAGCCAUUUUUUGGGCCCCUCAUGGGGGUGUGGCCGGCGACAUGGGGUAUCUCCCCUUGGGGACCCUCUUGUUCCUUGGUUUCACUCCUAGGUCCUUGUGGAAGGACUUCAUUCAUGUGCAUUUUGGGUUUUUGUGUGAAACUACCCUACCCCUUGGGAUUUCCUAUAAAUAGAGGUGGAGGGGCAACCCUCCACACUCAUCCCUUCUCACAUACAAGUGCCAUGCAAUGAUCUAGCUUCUUCUCUCCCUCCCAUGAAAAGAGUUUCGUAGAGCCGUAAGGCUGUUUGGGUUCCGGCAGGAACUAGUUCUGGACGGCGAAGCCCUGCCGGAUAGAUGACACCGUAUGUGUGCAACUCUGUAGAGAGGUCAUAGUUUCGAUCUUAGUGCCUGAGGGGCUGUUCGAGAAUGCCUCCCGAAGGGCUGUCCAAGUGAUGGUCCGAGUUCUAUGAGUCCUCCCGAAGGGCUGUCCGAGUGACCGUCCGAGUUUCGAAGGUCCUCCCGAAGGGCUGCCCGCAACACCGUCUGGGGGACUGUUCGACCGCCUCCCGGAGGGCUGUCUGAGGAGCAGAUGAGGGUAUACAUCCUCGCGGUUGGGAGGUUGUAAAUCCUAGCUGCGGGGAUCUGCACCGCCGAUCGUCAUCGACUCUACUUCCCGCUGCGCUACGAGUCGGUAACGAAACAGAUCAAACCUUGUAUGCAGUCUCCAUAGUGGUCCUGGGCUGGUGCGUAGGUCGGAAAAUUUUCGUUUUCUGCUGCGUUACCCUACAAUGAUCAUGUAUAUAGGCAUCACAUCCAAGAUUAGUAGACCGACUCCUGCCUGCAUCUACUACUAUUACUCCACACAUCGAUCGCUAUCCAGCAUGCAUCUAGUGUAUUAAGUUCAUGGAGAAACAGAGUAAGGCAAUAAGAAUGAUGACAUGAUGUAGAUAAGAUUUAUUCAUGUAGGAAUAGACCCCAUCCUUUUAUCCUUAAUAGCAACGAUACAUGCGUGUCAUGUCUCCUUCUGUCACUAAGAUUGAGCACCGCAAGAUCGAACCCAUCACAAAGCACUUCUUCCCAUUGCAAGAAAAAUCAAUCUAGUUGGCCAAACCAAACCAAAUUUUUUGAGAUAAAAUACAAGGCUAUAAUAAUCAUGCAUAUAAGAGAUGAAAGAAGACUCAAAUAACAUUCAUAGAUAGAACUGAUCAUAAACUCGCAAUUAAUUAGACCCAACAAACACAUCACAAAAAAGUCAUUACAUCAAAUAGAUCUCCAAGAACAUCGAGGAGAACAUUGUAUUGAGAACCAAAAAGAGGGAAGAAGCCAUCUAGAUACUGCCUACGGACCUGUAGGUCUGUGGUAAACUUCUAACGCAUCAUUGGAGGAACACCAAUGAGGAUGAUGAGCCCCUCCGUGAUCGCGAUCCCCUCCGGCAAGGUGCCGAAAAGGGCCCUAGAUUGGAUCUCGUGGUUCUGGAACUUGCGGUGGCCAAAAUUGUGUUUCGUCGACUCCCCUAGGGUUUCUGGAAUAUUUGAAUAUUUAUAGAGCUGAGAAGCGGUGGAAAGGACCUCCAUGGGCCCCACCAACCAUUAGGGUGCGCCCAGAUGGGUGAUGGGCCCCACGGGCCUUCCCUCACAUUUCCUUGGCUCCCAUUUUUGCUGAACGGACAACUGUUGUGCCGCUCUCGCCAGUUUCUCUCCCCGACGCAGAUGUUGCUGUCGCCACCUGAGCAACAACAGCGGCUGUCUGGGCUGCCUUGGCCGCACGGUCGCAGAUUGCGGCCAUGCUCACGCGACUUGUUACCAUGCGCAUGGCGGCUGCGGUUGCGCCCUCAUCGGAGUGGGCCAUCAAAGUGGCCCUAAAGACGCGGGUCCACGUCCCAUCUUUCACCGGCGAUGAUUGAACAGUGAAAUGAUAUUUGGGGAGCGAGCUAGUGUCCUUGAUGUGUCGGCUAUGGACUGUAGCUGGCGCUGACAAAGCUAUGUACCUAGGGUAGGGUCAAGGAUCUGUCCAAACUGCCCUACCCAAUGACAUCUCUAGAAGAAAUCACCUUUCAAUCGACUUGGAGGUGUUCCACUCGACAGACUCGAAGACACUUGACCAAGAAGCGAUCACUCGACCAAGACCAAACCACUCGACGGCCAGGAGACCUAAAGGCACUCCGCAUGCUAACGGUCGGUUAUUAAGUAGCCUUUAUGGUCAUCAUAGCACUUUAUUAGGGGCGUUACCAGUAUCGCCCGACCUUAAUGUAUUUAAAACCCUGCAUAACUGAGGGCCGGAGGGGUCCGGCGAACUCUAUAUAAGCCACCCCCUCCUCAGUGUAAAGGGUUCGCACCCCUGUAAACCAUACGCGCAUAAUCCAGUCGACCGCCUCCGGGCUCCGAGACGUAGGGCUAUUACUUCCUCCGAGAAGGGCAUGAACUCGUAAACCUCGUGUGCUUACAACUUCUCCAUAGCUAAGAUCUUGCCUCUCCAUACUUACCCCCCUACAUUACUAUCAGACUUAGAACCACGACAGUUGGCGCCCACCGUGGAGCAGGUGUUUUAGCGAUUUGUUGGAGGAGUUGCGAUCUUUUCCGAUCCGAAUCAUCAUGGUUUCCGGCGGAGUUUUGGUGGAGGGCCGCGAGAUCCGCCUCAGCGCGCUCACGUUCAUCGCCGACGACUCCGCUUGGCUUCAGGAGGCUCUGCUCGACGUGGACGCGCUCCCUGUCCGCGAGGCGAUGCACUUUCGCGCGUGCGCCCGCGGCAUCCUUUUACGGCAACCAUCAACCCACUAUCGGUCGGCUCCUGUGCUAUCCUCCCUCCCUAUUUCCCGCUGGCGCAAGCACUCUGGUCGGUCGAGAGUUCAGUGGUGGGUGAGACACGCGGUGGAACGCCAGUCGGCCACCCCUCAAGUCAUGGUGAUCGAGCCCGACGAAUCCCUCUACGGCCUGUUCGAUCUGUCGACUGACUCUACAGAGAUCGCAUCCGAGUGCGACAGCAGUGAUCCGGUGGCGGAGGUUCUGAUGGUCGAUGGACCACCCAGUCCUCCCGAUUUUCCCCGCACCGACAGGGGCGUGGGUGGAGGCGACCCGUCGCGUCCCCAUGAGGAAUAUCUCCCCGAGCCUCUCACGUCGUUGCAGAGAGAAGAACUUCGUCGCCGGAACAUGGAUGCGCUGCACACUCCUAUCGUCGGAGAAACCCCCGAGGCUCGCGCCUUGGAGGACGCGAGCCUGGCAAACUUGGCCGAGCGCACUCAACUGGAGAACCUUCAGCGAGCACUCGACGAGCGUGCGCGACAACGGGUUCCCGAAUCCAGUCGACGUCAGCUCUUCCCGCCCCCACAGGUAUAUCGAACUCUGAUUCAGAAUUUAAUAGCUGCAGCCCGUAUAGCAGAGUCGAUUUAGCCUUCCCAGUCGGAGGCUGGCAGAGGCUUGCUGCAGAUCAGGGCGUUACUCCGGGCAGCAGGAGACCAGAAUUUCGUUGUUUCUCAGUCGCGGAACAGGAUUCACAGCAGAUCCGUUGCUGCAGACACAGUCCAGUCGGCUCAUAGCCCAAGAUCACCCCUGAGGCGUGAGGGACGUGGAGACCGGCGUAAUCAGCACAGGAACCAUGAGCAAUAUGAUCAUCGAUUCGAUCGUGAUGAUCGACGUCGAGUGCCCACCCCUCCCCCGAGGAGCGGGUCGUAUGCGCCUCAACAGCAGGAUCACAUGCCUCCUCGUAGUGUUGGGAGAAGGAUUCCAGUCGACUCCAGGGAGCCAGGCUUUGAUGCGAGAUCCAUUCUCGUUCAAGGUUUGGUCGACAGGAACAGAGCUCACCGAGAAGGUCACGACAGAGACGCGCCUACCAGCAGCAGAGCACAUGUUUCGGGGCCAGAGUGCUUUAGUAGAACCAUCAGGGCCACUGUGAUUCCUCCCAACUUCAGGUUGGCGACUGGAGUCAGCAAGUUCACUAGUGAGUCCAAGCCCGAUACUUGUCUUGAAGACUACCGAGUGGCCGUCCAGAUUGGCGGCGGCAAUGAUGAAGUGGCCAUGAAACACCUGCCUCUCAUGUUGGAGGGCUCGGCCAGAGCGUGGCUGAACCAGUUAGCACCCAACAACAUUUACACAUGGGAAGAUCUCGCCCGAGUGUUUGUCACCACAUUUGAAGGAACAUGCAAGCGACCGGCAGGGCUGACGGAACUGCAGUCUUGCGUGUAGAAGCCGAAUGAAACGUUGAGGGAUUACAUCCAGAGAUGGAUCACGUUACAUCACACGGUAGAGAAUGUGCCUGACCACCAAGCAGUCUAUGCCUUCAAAGAAGGCGUCAAGUACAGAGAAUUAAAUCUAAAAUUCGGCCGGACCGGAGAUAUGUCCCUGAAUCGGAUGAUGGAGAUUGCCACCAAGUACGCUAAUGGUGAAGAUGAGGAUCGACUCAGGAGUGGCAAGCUCAAGUCAUUCGCUCAAGAAACCAGAGGAAAUUCCAAUCGGAAACAGAACCGGAAGGCCGAGCCAGCUGCUCCUGGGGAAGCCUUGGCUGUAACCCAAGGAAAGUUUAAAGGGAAACCCAAAGGACCUUGGAACCCCAAGAAAGUUAAAGACCAGGACGGAAAUGAUGUGUUGGAUUUGCCAUGUCUCGUCCACACCAAGAAAGAUGAAGAGGGUAACUUCAUUUACCCGAAACAUACCACUCGACAAUGUCGACUCUUGAUCCAGCAGUUCCAGGGCAAGCAGCCCAAAGAUAAGGAAAAGGAGUCGGACAAAGUUGAGUACAAGGAAGAUAGUGACGAUGGAUACCCCCAAGUCAAUUCCACCCUGAUGAUUUUUGCUAAUGUUGAAAGCAAAAGUCGACUAAAAGUUAUCAACAGAGAAGUGAAUAUGGUUGCUCCGGCGACACCCAGUUAUCUGAAGUGGUCUCAGACUGCCAUAACAUUCGACCGGUCUGAUCACCCAACACACAUCGCCACCCCUGGGAGGCAAGCUUUGGUGGUCGACCCAGUUAUUGAAGGCACUCGACUGACCAAAGUCUUGAUGGAUGGUGGUAGUGGUUUGAACAUAUUAUAUGCUGAGACGUUGAAAGGGAUGGGCAUUCCGAUGUCCAGACUCAGUACCAGCAACAUGAGUUUCCAUGGAGUCAUUCCUGGGAAGAAGGCUGAAUCACUCAGCCAGAUUGCUCUUGAUGUGGUUUUCGGUGAUUCCAAGAAUUACCGCAAAGAAAAGUUGACGUUUGAAGUUGUAGACUUCCAGAGUGCCUAUCACGCUAUUUUGGGCAGGCCGGCUUAUGCACGCUUCAUGGCCCGACCAUGUUAUGUGUAUCUCAAAUUGAAGAUGCCUGGCCCCAAAGGUGUGAUCACUAUCACGGGCAAUCGGAAGAAAGCGGAAGAGUGUUUUCAGAAAGGUUCAAAGAUCGCUGAUGCUCAGAUGGCAGUGGUGGAGCUGCAGGAAUACCAGAAAACUACAGACGCGAGUGAUUUGUUACGAGCCAAGAAGCCCGCUACAGAAUCAGCUUUUCAGUCGUCUGGCGAAACGAAGACAGCUCACAUCCACCCGACCGAUCCCAGCGCUGCUCCAACUCAUAUCUCAACAACACUCGACUCCAAAUAGGAAGAAGCGCUCAUCCAGUUCCUCCAUGAGAACUGAGACAUUUUCGCAUGGAAGCCUUGUGAUAUGCCGGGUGUUCCCAAGGAGCUGGCUGAGCACCGCCUAAGAGUCGACUCAAAAGUAAAACCUGUCAAGGAACAUCUUCGACGGUCCACCGUCCAGAAGAGAAAGGCUAUUAACGAGGAGGUGGCUCGGCUCUUAGCAGUGGAGUUCAUCCGAGAAAUCUACCACUCCGAGUGGCUCGCCAACGUUGUCAUGGUCCCCAAGAAGGACAAGUCACUUCGCAUGUGCAUUGACUUUAAACAUAUCAAUCGGGCCUGCCUGAAAGAUCAUUUUCCUCUCCCCGCAUCGAUCAGAUAGUCGACUCGACUGCGGGAUGUGAGCGACUGUCUUUUUUAGACGCUUAUUCCGGGUACCAUCAGAUCCGUCUGUAUGGACCUGACGAGAUCAAAACAACUUUCAUCACUCCAUUCGGGUGCUUCUGUUAUGUUACCAUGCCGUUCAGCCUCAAGAAUGCCGGAGCCACAUUCAUGAGGAUGAUUCGGAAGUGUUUUCUCACUCAAAUCAGUCGGAAUGUGGAAGCAUACAUGGAUGACAUUGUGGUCAAGUCACGGAAGGGUUCCGACCUGCUGGCUGACCUUGCUGAAACCUUUGCCAACCUCAGGAAGUAUGAUAUCAAGCUUAAUCCAUCAAAGUGCACAUUCGGAGUUCCUGGCGGAAAAUUACUCGGUUUUCUCGUUUCCGAACGAGGAAUCGACGCCAAUCCAGAAAAAGUCGGUACGAUACUCCGAAUGAAAAGUCCUGUGCGAGUGCACGACGUCCAGAAGCUUACUGGUUGCUUGGCCGCUUUAAGUCGAUUCAUAUCCCGUCUCGGUGAAAAGGCAUUGCCUCUUUACCGAGAUGAAGAAGUCCGACAAGUUCGAGUGGACUCCCGAAGCUGAUGCAGCGUUUGCAGAGCUCAAAGCUCUACUCUCCACCCAGCCGGUGCUUGCUGCCCCAAUCAGCAAGGAGCCUUUGCUGCUUUACAUCGCAGCCACGGGACAAGUCGUCAGUACGGUACUUACGGUCCAGCGGGAAGAAGGAAAAUCCUUCAAAGUUCAGCGCCCAGUAUAUUAUAUUUCUGAAGUUUUGACCCCGUCGAAGCAAAGAUAUCCUCAUUAUCAGAAGCUUGUAUAUGGGAUUUAUAUGACCACAAAGAAAGUUGCUCACUACUUCUCUGAUCAUUCCAUUACAGUCGUCAGUGACGCUCCGUUGUCAGAGAUCCUGCAUAGCAAGAUGCAACUGGUCGAGUGGCAAAAUGGGCGAUUGAACUCCUUCCUCUAGAUAUCAAGUUCGAGGCAAAGAAAGCUAUCAAGUCCCAGGCAAUAGUAGAUUUCAUUGCCGAGUGGAUUGAACAGCAACUGCCGACUCAGGUUCACUCGGAGCAUUGGACCAUGUUCUUCGACGGUUCCAAAAUGUUGAAUGGUUCCGGUGCCGAAGUGGUGUUGGUAUCCCCCCGAGGAGAUAAGCUCAGAUAUGUUCUUCAAAUCCACUUUGAUUCCUCCAAUAACGAGGCGGAAUAUGAAGCACUUUUAUAUGGGUUGUGCAUGGCCGUUUCACUUGGCGUCCGUCGCCUCAUGGUCUAUGGCGACUCAGAUUUGGUGGUUAAUCAGGUGAUGAAGGAAUGGGACGUCAGAAGUCCAGCCAUGACUGGUUAUUGCAAUGCAGUGAGAAAGCUGGAGAAGAAAUUUGAGGGGUUAGAGCUUCAUCACAUACCCCGACUAAAAAAUCAAGAAGCUGAUGAUUUGGCAAAAAUAGUUCCAAAAGAGAAGCCAUUCCCAGCAAUGUGUUUUUGGAACACAUCCACACACCAUCAGUUCAGGAGGAUCCCUUCACUGAAGAGGCCCCGCAGCCAAAAAGUGCCACAGAUCCGACUGAAGUUGAAGUUCCAGCUGUGGUCGACUUGAUCAUGGAAGUCUUGGUCAUCACUCCCGACUGGACAGUACCUUACAUCGCGUACAUCCUAAGGAAAGAACUCCCAGAGGACGAAGAAGAGGCUCGACAGAUCGUCCGUCGAUCCAAGGCCUUUACAGUCAUAAAGGGAUAGUUGUAUAGAGAAAGCGCGACUAGAGUCAGUCAGAAGUGUAUAACACCAGAAGAAGGUCAGAUGAUCCUUGAAGAUAUCCACUCGGGAACCUAUGGUCAUCAUGCAUCCUCUCGGACCAUUGUGGCUAAAGCAUACCGAGCGGGAUUUUACUGGCCAAGGGCCAAUGAAAUAGCAAAAGAGAUAGUCGACAAAUGUGAAGAAUGUCAGUAUUACUCCAUUAUGUCGCACAAGCCUGCGUCAGCUCUGAAAACCAUUCCACUCGUCUGGCCCUUCGCUGUUUGGGGGCUGGACAUGGUUGGACCACUAAAAACGGGCAGGAGCGGCUUCACUCAUGUGCUAGUAGCAGUCGACAAGUUCACCAAAUGGAUUGAAGCUAAGCCUAUCAAGAAUCUUGAUGCUUGCACUGGUAUCAGUUUCAUCAGAGAGUUGAUAUUCAGAUAUGGAUUUCCGCACAGCAGCAUCACUGACAAUGGGUCAAACUUCGAUUCUGACAAAUUCAGGGCCUUUUGCGCCUCUCAGGGCACACGAGUCGACUAUGCUUCGAUCGCUCACCCUCAGUCGAAUGGACAGGCAGAAAGAGCAAACGGCCUAAUUCUCAAAGGACUGAAACCUCGAUUGAUGCGCGAUCUCAAGCACGCAGCAGGUGCAUGGGUCGACGAGCUUCCAUCAGUUCUUUGGGGAUUGAGGAUGACCCCGAACCGAUCGACUGGAAGAACCCCAUUCUUUCUGGUCUACAGAGCCGAAGCAGUCUUGCUGAGUAACAUGCUUCACAACGCCCCUCGAGUCGAGCUCUACUCUGAAGAAGAAGCAGAACAAGCCCGGCAGGACGCAGUCGACCUCCUAGAAGAAGAAAGAGAAAUGGCCAUGAUCCGAUCGACCAUCUAUCAGCAAGACUUGCGUCGAUUCCAUGCCAGAAAUGUGAAGAGUCGAGCCUUCCAAGAAGGAGACUUAGUCCUCCGAGUGGAUCAGCAGAAACCACACAAACUCGCUCCUACUUGGGAAGGCCCCUUCAUAGUCACCAAAGUCCUCCACAACGGAGCAUAUCACCUCUAUAAUGUCAAUCGCCAGAUUGAUGAGCCACGAGCCUGGAAUGCGGAGCUUCUCCGCCCCUUUUAUACUUGAAUUCUCACUCGGAUGAGAUGUAAUAAGAAAAAACUCAUGUAGUUUAUUUAUCAAAGACAAGAGCGUUAUAAUUUUCUCAGCGAUUGUUAUUGUUUUUGUUUGCGUAAGAAAUCCCCCAGUGGGUGGCUUAGCUGCGAAUCUGCUUCGCCUAAGUUUGUAAAAAUAAUUUCCUACCGAGUGGUGAACCAGCCUCCCACUCAGGGGCUUAGCUGCGAACCCGUUUCGCCUAAGUAUUUAAAAAUCCUACCGAGUGGAGAGCAAUCCUCCCACUCGGAGGCUUAGCUGCAGUCCAGUACUCGCCUAAGUCUUCUCACUCGGAGACUUAGCUGCAGUCCGACACUCGCCUAAGUUUGAAAAAAUCCUACUGAGUGGAGAGCAAUCCUCCCACUCGGGGGCUUAGCUGCAGUCCAAUACUCGCCUAAGUUUUCUCACUCGAAGACUUACCUGCAGUCCGGCACUCGCCUAAAUUUGAAAAAAAUCCUGCNNNNNNNNNNNNNNNNNNNNNNNNNNNNNNNNNNNNNNNNNNNNNNNNNNNNNNNNNNNNNNNNNNNNNNNNNNNNNNNNNNNNNNNNNNNNNNNNNNNNNNNNNNNNNNNNNNNNNNNNNNNNNNNNNNNNNNNNNNNNNNNNNNNNNNNNNNNNNNNNNNNNNNNNNNNNNNNNNNNNNNNNNNNNNNNNNNNNNNNNNNNNNNNNNNNNNNNNNNNNNNNNNNNNNNNNNNNNNNNNNNNNNNNNNNNNNNNNNNNNNNNNNNNNNNNNNNNNNNNNNNNNNNNNNNNNNNNNNNNNNNNNNNNNNNNNNNNNNNNNNNNNNNNNNNNNNNNNNNNNNNNNNNNNNNNNNNNNNNNNNNNNNNNNNNNNNNNNNNNNNNNNNNNNNNNNNNNNNNNNNNNNNNNNNNNNNNNNNNNNNNNNNNNNNNNNNNNNNNNNNNNNNNNNNNNNNNNNNNNNNNNNNNNNNNNNNNNNNNNNNNNNNNNNNNNNNNNNNNNNNNNNNNNNNNNNNNNNNNNNNNNNNNNNNNNNNNNNNNNNNNNNNNNNNNNNNNNNNNNNNNNNNNNNNNNNNNNNNNNNNNNNNNNNNNNNNNNNNNNNNNNNNNNNNNNNNNNNNNNNNNNNNNNNNNNNNNNNNNNNNNNNNNNNNNNNNNNNNNNNNNNNNNNNNNNNNNNNNNNNNNNNNNNNNNNNNNNNNNNNNNNNNNNNNNNNNNNNNNNNNNNNNNNNNNNNNNNNNNNNNNNNGUACUCGCCUAAGUCUUCUCACUCGGAGACUUAGCUGCAGUCCGGCGCUCGCCUAAGUUUGAAAAAAUCCUACCUAGUGGAGAGCAAUCCUCCCACUCGGGGGCUUAGCUGCAGUCCAGUACUCGCCUAAGUUUUCUCACUCGGAGACUUAGCUGCAGUCAGGUACUCGCCUAAGUAUUUAAAAAAUCCCAUCGAGUGGAGAGCAAACCUCCCACUCGGGGGCUUAGCUGCAGUCCAGUACUCGCCUAAGUACGAAACACAUCUCAACCCACAAGGACGAUGAGGUGCAGGUCGACUGCCACCUUCUCCUGGAGAGCUUUGCCACAAAUACAAUGUGCGCUCCAUCCCGCUCUGGAGUAACGAGGUGCGGGUCGACUGCCACCUUCUCCUGGGGAGCUUCGCCACAAAUACAAUGUGCGCACCGUCCCGCUCUGCAGUAACUAGGUGCAGGUCGACUGCCACCUUCUUCUUCGGAGCUGCGCUACAAAUACAAAAGUUGUCUCGAAUAAAGAACGGGUUCACUCAGCAGGGGAUUCAUGAAGAUAUUCAACGAUAAACCAAGUUCAGAUAAAUCCUAAAGGUUCCGGACCACAGAUCGAAGUGCUCGGGCAUUCAGCCUGAAAGAGUUUAACGGUUACAAAAACCACUCGGCAUUCCGAGGCAAAUUCAAGGUGAGGCAUAAAAGUUUGUUCACUCCGCGGGAGGAGGACUAGCAGGCUCGACGAACUCGUCUAAGUCGACGCCGUCGGCGAUCUGAGUGGCUACAGUGAUGAAAGUCUCCAUAAAAGAUUGGAAUUCAUGCUUCUGGGUGUUGGCGACCUUGAUUGCUGCCAGCUUAUCUUGUCGCACCUCCUUGCAAUGGACGCGAACCAAAGACAGAGCCACAUCAGUGCCACACCUGGCAGAAGACUUCUUCCACUCCUGCACUCGGUCAGGGAUUUUGUGAAGUCAAGUCAUCAGGGACUCAAGAUCAUUUUGGAGCGUGGCCUCUGGCCAAAGUGCCGGGUCGAUCCGUGACAUGGCGACCUUCAGUCGAGCCAAGUAGUCCACGACACCGUCGAUGCGGGAUUCCAGUCGGAGCAGAUUCAUGGCAGUUUCAUCUUUCACGGGAGAAUUGAUUGGAUCCAAACCUGGUUCGAUCUACCCAGUCUCCUCCUCGAAGUCCUGGCAAAACUCUGCAUUCACGACCCAAGAAUAAGUCAAUUUUCAUACGCUGAGUCGACACAAAAAAAA